UCAAAUUUAAGAGUAAAAGUUUUCUACUCUUGUACAUUUGAAAUUGGUAAGUUGUGAUGUUUUGGACAAAACAAAGACCAACUAAGGUCAAUUGUGUGAAGUUUUUGUCUUGAUUAGAAUCCACACUAUCUCAUUAAUAUCUGAAGAGAGAGUCUUGUAUGUCAAGAGGACAGUGGGAGUCUUAAAGGUCUUGAAAGUCUCAAGAACUAAUCAAGAAUAACACCUGAAGUUCUUCACUAGCACACGACUUGAGGUUUAUAACCUGUCGUGUUGACAUAUUUUGUGCCCAUUCCAAUUAAAGUUGGCUUUCAUAUGAGUUCUAAGAGUUCUCAAUUGGUCGCACAACAACUUGGAAGUAAUGACAGGCCCUUGAGCUGCCAGGUGGCAAGCAAUUAAGAUUGAGUUCAGUCCAUAUGAGCUUGGAUUUGUUAUUAUCCUUCUCUUGUGACUAUGGUUUUGUUANUCUUGUGACUAUGGUUUUGACAAUUCACAUGGAUAAGAACACAUACACCAUUAAAUCUAAGUGUCAUAAGGUUUCUCUCCGAUUCAUGAAAAUUAUGGUGAGGAAACACUUUCACUAAGUAGAUUUUAGCUAGAUAGCAUUUGUGAUAUUUGCAUUCUCAAAGUCGUUAGUGGAGCGUGUGUGGUUUACCGGCACACUGACAUGGACUUGUGAGAAGUGGCAAAGGUCUAAACAAUCAAUACUAUGAUUACGACAUCCCUUUCCAUAGUUUUUUAAAUUGUUUAGACACACCUAUGAGCUAUCAAAGAUAAAGUGUAUGAUUAUGCUAAAGUUUCAUCAAAGCAAUCUAGUAUCAGAAAUCUCAACUUUGGUAAGAAAGUCAAUAAAUUAUUGUUUUUCCUAGAAGUUCAGCUGAUUUCUGAGUACAUGUCAAAGCUAGUGGGAGCAUAAGUGUUAUGCUAAUAAUCAUCAUGUUAGUGGGAGCAUGAUAAUUAUAAUAAAGGUUGCAAAUUAGCAAUGUUAAUUAUAGAAAACAAAAAGGUUUCAAUUUGGAAAAAGUUGUUUUGCUAUAAGGAAAUUAUACUUCGUAUCAAAUCUAAAAGCUUAGAUUGAGGUUUUAAUUGUAUUUAGUCAAGUACAUAUAUGAAUAUUAUGUUGGAAUGGCUUAACAUAAGAAAAUUCUAUAUAUGGGUCCAUUAUUUGCGUUCUACAAUUUGAUUAUGAUUACAACAUCCCUUUUCAUAAUCUGAAUUAUGAGAACUUGGCAAAUUGAAAUGGAAAUAUUAUGGCAAAAGACUGGUUUAAUCUUUAUGUUAGACAUCAUGAAUCGUGUCCCAUAUGCUUCGGAUAUAGGAUCGAUUACAUGUGCUAUAUUCAUCCGUUCUAAAAUUUUCCAAAUGCCUGGGGCAUUAAGAAGGGAAAAGGUUUAGAACUGGAUAUGACUAAAAGGAUUAAACAAUUGUCGAGGACAAUCUAAGGUUUACCAAAGAUUGGUUGCUCAAGGACAGUUGGAAGUAUAGUGAUAAUUCUGGAAGGACCAUAUUGACAUAAUCUGUAAGGAGGCAACUCUUGUUCAGAAGUGAUAGUCAAAAUGGAAUCUGGAAAUGUUUCAAAGUUAGAAUUUUCAAUCUGUGUAAGAUUAAGGAAACUUAAUGCAAGAAGGAUUUUUCCAAGGAGUUGAUCUCCUUUGGAAUACUCUGUAACGGUUGUUGCCAAGUCUUUUUGACUUUGUGCAUAAUAAUUACAAGAGGAUCAAUGCAUAUAAGUUUAGAAUCUAACAGAUUUCAGUAAAUGGCAUGAAUUUGGAAUUCUUGCAUUUGCAGUAAGGAUUUGGGACUGUGACAGAGAAUCGUUGAAGUUAUGAUCAAUUGAUCUAGUUCACAAAAUAAAGAUCCUAGACAAACAUAGUAUGCAUACUUGGUGUAUGGCAUGACUAGUGCUUAGAAAACAUAGUGUACAUGCUUGGAGCAUGGGACAACUAUUGUUUUAAAUUCAAGAAUAAAGUUGAUAGCUGAAACAGUAUACAAUGAAUAAUGUGUAAUCAUAUGGUGAUAAAUAAAAGGUGUUUUAUUUAUGUUCAUAGGUUUUGAUACCAUAUUGGAUUCAAUUAUUAUUGUGUUUCACUUUGCAUGUUUUGACUUCCCGAAUAAACUAGGUUAUUCUUCCGGAAUGACUAAGUUAUUCAAACCAUCCACAGUCGGUCAUAUGUUGGAAGUAGAUAUGAAUUAAGACUGUCAUGGGUUGGCUUGUAGAGGUCUAAGAUGUUGGACAAAGGGCUACAACACUCAUGAGUGCUCAUAAGUUCUGAGUAUUGGAUUCAACCCGCGCUCAUUGGAAUCACUUCAUGGAUUUUAUCACGAGUGAUCAUGAGACAAUAAUAUCUUAUAUUCUUCAAACCUAGAGAUAUGAGUUGUUACUACUAGUUGGUUGUACAUUGAUUGCACGAAAACGCAUUCGGUAACUCGGUGUCAUAAAACGUGCCUUUGUGUAUGAUUCAACAAGUAGUAUGUAACAUCCAGAUUCUUGGGUAUGUAUUAUAUUAUUUAUAUAUUUUGAUUUAAUCAAAGGGACUCGGCGACUUGGUGGAUUUACUCGUCGGGCACGAUCAGGUGACGUGUUUAAAUGAAUGGACUCGACGAGUCGAGCAUUUGAUGCGGGCCCUAGUGUGGAGGCGGGCCCUAGNCUAGAGGCCCACGAUCGUGUGACUAAAGGGGCUUCAUGAAAAUGGCCAUAACUUUGGCUACGAAUCUCCGUUUUGGGCCUACGACCAGUCAAAUCUAAGGGGACUUACCCAUUUUUGAGUAUAGUAAUCGCUUUCUAAAUGGAGUUAUGAACAAUUUUGUUAUAUUUCCUUAAUUUUUGGGUUUUGUUUUUGGGUUUGUAUUUGGCCCAUGGACUUUUAGGGUUUUAUUUUAAUUUUUGCUUCUUAUUUAACUGUUUUCGAUGUAAUUUGGAUGGUCGAUCAUCAAUUUUAUGAACUUUCGAUUUUCUCCCAAAUUCUGCGUGUGUUAACCCAGAUUUUGAAGCCAAUCCCACGGUAUUCAUGGAAUCAACAUGGUUUUGAAGAGAUUGUCCUGGCUAUUCUUUUAGAAUCAACAGGUUCAUUCUUGGUUAUCUUGUGUUGUUUUUUUGCACUGCAUCAGCAUUGGACUCGCCGAGUCGGCGCUAUAGAGGAAAACCUAAUUGUCCGGGUUUGGGACCUAUUUAAAGAGCCUUAGGGUCUUCAAUUGCGACUAUCCUUACCCUGGAGAAACCCUAAAUCGUCCUUGAGAGCUUAGAGAGUAAAUAAGCGCCAUCUUGAGCAUUUUGGUGUGACAUUUCUAAACAGAAGAUGAGAUUCUAGCAAUAGGGACAAGAGGGGGUUGAUAAACUGAGGUUAUGAAGCCUGGAGUUUCACUUUCAGGUAACAAAUCGGACCAUUUCUCCUGUUUGAUGUUGAUUUCAUGAAUCUAGGGUUUUUUAACCAUUCUCUUUAGAGGUUUAUGAAAUGUUUGAGGUCCCAAUGUGGAAUAAGCCUUAGAUCUGGACCAUGGGAGGUCCAGAGAGUCCCUUAUGUUCAGCUUUAUGCCGUCAAAUAGAGAGUUUGAGCCUACGUUUCCAUUUAGAUGGCUAUUUCUUCAUUUAUGGCUCUAAUAAUCAUGCAUGGACGUAAAGUUUGGACCUUUUUGUGAUUUGUGGGUGCUAGAUGGUUAGAUCUACAAGUUGGUGAAGUAGAUCUGACCUCAAAAGGUUAGAUGAGUUUGUCAUGGAGGAGACUCGCCGAGUCCAUAGGAGGAAUCGGCGUGUCUGAUCGAGUUUACCUGAGUUUCGUGAUCAGUUGAGACCCGACGAGUUGGGUGGGUGACUCUGCGAGUCGAGUGAGACCUUGUGAGGAAUCUAAUUACGCGUGUCGACUUGCCGAGUCGUUGCCUAACUUGACGAGUCUGGUCAAAGUUGGACCGUUGACUUCCGUUGACUUUUAGGGUUUAGUCAACCAGUGGACUAUUGGGCCAGGGGAGGGGUAGAAUGGUCUUUUACCCUUCUGGGAAGCAUAGUAUGAGACCUGUCUAGCCUUUGAGAGCCACUGUUGAUUUAGAGUUAUUUAUUUUAUGUGAUUAGGCGGCGACUUGAUCGGUAUUUCGAGUUCAAGACUUUCGAGAAUUACCUGAGGUGAGUCUUCUCACUAUACGUUACCUUGAGUGGUAGUUAUGUUUUACCGGACGGUCUUAUGUGCUUACAUUGAGUAUUAUGUUAUAUGUGAUAUGCUAUGCAUCAUGUCUUUGUGAUUUAUGCUAUGCGGAGUUUAUAGAACGGACCGGAGGGUCCAACGAUAUAGACCGGACCGGAGGGUUCAAUGAUACAGACCGGACCGUAGGUUCCAAUGAUACAGAACUAGAGGGUUCCGCUGAGACACACCGACCGGAGGGUCAUAUUGUAGCCUUGAGUGGCGUAUGUGUUGUAUGUGGUAUUUUGGGGAACUCAUUAAGCUUCGUGCUUACCGUGUUAUGUGUUAUGUGUUUCAGGUUCUUCAUAAUCGUUGGAAGGCGACGGCUCGAUUGUACACACACACAAGAGAAAAGAGUGAAGAAUACAAAUCCUGGAAUUUCAUAAUGUUCUGAAAACCUUGUUGAUGAUUUUUAAAUAAAAAGUGUUUAUAUAGGAUAAUGUGUAUUUUUAUGAAAUAAAAAUGAGUAAAAUAAAUUUAAAAUUUUUCGGUGUUACAAGUUGGUAUGAGAGCCUUGGUUUUAGGGAUUCGGAUACACCUUCGGGUAUGUCCAGACUCAAACUGAGGAUUGAGAAAAAUGUUUUCAAAAGAAAUGGAUUUUCAAAAAAAAAAUGAGUAAGAGAAUUUAUAAGAGAAAGAGAUAACGAGUAGUGUGUACAACGAGCCAGUGCCCGAAUGGUGAUUUCCCAAAAACGCCCUAACAUUGUGUGUUAUGAGUAAUGUGUGAAAUGUAAUAUAUGCUAGAGAGUAGGCUAGGUAUUUCAUAUUUUAGCGCUAGUGUGGCCGGAUUUGUGAUGCCUUAGCCUUGGAGAUACUGUUAUCUGUGAAUUGGUUUUGUGUAUGUGUGGAUUAUGAGUAUCCAACAGGAAUUCUAUUUAGAGAAGGAUUUGAGCAGAGGAGUAAUCUAGGAGAGAUACCUAGAUUAGCAUUUGAGGAUCCUUUUGAGAAGGUAGUUAGAUAAUCGCGAGGGGUGGAGUUGCUUGAGCUCGGUGACAUCUUUGAUUACGAGUGUAGCGAGCGGAGUUGUAACCUAGAGUGGUGAUACAUGUUGAUAAGGGACUAUUCGAUGCCCGAAUGCCGCUUGAUUUGUGCUUUGUGGAAUUCUCGAUGAUGGGAGUCGGCUACUAAGUGAAUAUGACGAUAUUCAGGAGAUAGACGAUUGGCAUCACUAGGAGUUCUUCAGCAGCUGAUGGCCGGAAGGUGUGGGAACCUAGGAAGAGCCUGGGAAGUGAUCUUUGUUAGAUGAGUAGGCGGAUAAUGGAGAGUAUUCGCAGGAAGAGCNNNNNNNNNNNNNNNNNNNNNNNNNNNNNNNNNNNNNNNNNNNNNNNNNNNNNNNNNNNNNNNNNNNNNNNNNNNNNNNNNNNNNNNNNNNNNNNNNNNNNNNNNNNNNNNNNNNNNNNNNNNNNNNNNNNNNNNNNAGGUAGUAUGGCCCCGUAUUACUGAAAGCAGAGGACCCAUACUCGAUACAUGGAAAGUUCCUGGGAUUCUAAGUAGCAGAUGAGAGGGAUCGUAUGGUUUGAGUACCAUGAUCAGUGGCAGAUGACAGGGGAUUGCAUGGUUUGAGUACCAUGAUCAGUGGCAGAUGAGAGGGGAUUGUAUGGUUUGAGUACCAUUCUUGGAAGCAGGUUGGGAAGUGAUUUCGUGGUUCGAGUACCAUGAUUUUUGGAAGGCAGAGAGAUAGCAACGUUGUGCGAGUACCAUGGCUACGAUGAUUAGUGUUACUGGUCCUACCAAUUAUGCCAUUAUGUUGAUCAUACCGAGAUCAGGUAUGAGAGAGUAUGCGGCUUGAGGGCCAAUUUGAAUGAGUUUGAGGGAGUAUGCUUGAAAGAGAAAUGGGAUUCGUUUUAAGAGGUUUUAUUUGGAGGCCAUGGAGUAGUACUUGUGGUGAGCUUUUCAGGUUGUUUGAGCGGUUUUUCUGUGGUGAAGUAUUCCUUGUACCAUUGAGCCAAUGCUGGAAACGGAGAGUCUUGGGUGAAUCGGGGCAGUUGGGAUGUCCUGUUUGGGGCAGUAUGAGGUCCUAAAUGAUUAAAGCAAGUCAUGAGGAGAAGUUAUGAGGGAUUCGUAUGUGAUUCGGAGUAUUUGGUAUUGCUAGGUUUCUAAUCGGGGAGAUCAUCAAGCGUUGCGUAGCUCAAUUAGAGAAUAGAUGCGAUGUUAUUAAUGGAAGCAGUCUGUGGAUGGAUUGAAAGUGCGCCAAUUGGUGAUGGUUCGAACCCUAAGUGGGGGAGAACCAGGUAAUUGCUGGAGGGAUUUGAGAAUUGUGCAGAGGCAGGUAGAGGACUAGUUAUAGUGAUUGUGUGGCAGAUUCAUGGGUUCAGGGCACUACUAGAAAAACAGCCUUUAAUGACGUGCAAACAAUGACACGCGGUGAUUUACGAUAUGCAAAAGCGGGCGCUCUAAAAAUAAUGUCAUCUCUUCAAACUUUUGAAGGAUAGAGGUCACGCUUUUUUUGCGUGCCCUAAAAUUAAUGUCCAAGAAAAAAAAUUAAAAACACGGAGGGCACUUAUUUAAAAAUGGGCGUCGUCUAGAAAUGUCGCUUUAUAUUUUUUGAAUGAAAGGCGCGUUCUUUUUUUUUUGCAGCUGGGGGGAAACGAAAAUCCCAAAAGUUUGAAAGGCCGCCAUUGUUAUCCUCUAUCUUAUUUCCAUCUUUCUUCUCUCUCUCUCUCUCUCUCACUCUCUCUCUUUCUCUAUCUCUGUCACUCUAAUACCCAAAAAAAACCCUAAUAUCAUCACAAAUCCUCUUUUCUCACGCAACAAAAUCGCAAUAUCACCAAAUCUCUGAUCCCGUCUUCUGAACAGAUCAAACCCGCAGGGGUUCUCGAUUUCUCUAUGUUGAUGUGUGGUGACACGAACAAAAAAAAGGAGUGUAGCGCCUCUACCUUUCAAUUUUAUUUGUCGGUUGCUUCGAAUCGGCUAUUGAUUUCUCUCUCAUAGGGGUUUCUUUGUGCGUUCCCUUCACCUCCGUUAUAAAGGAAUAUCUGUGGGAUACAAAAGGCGUUCGAGAGAAAGGGAGGACAUCGAUCAAGGCUCACUUACUUCUACCUACUGGAACCAUUAUAUCUCCCACUUGAUGUUGAAAGCAACGUCAACAUCAUCGAUAAUGUCGAAGAUAAGAUCCAGGUUCUUAUUUCUCCUUUAUUCAUGCCUCUAAUUUUGAUUUUGAAUCCUCUUCUCUUCUCUUCUGUAAAACCCUAACCAGAAAAACCAUACAAGUUUCAAUCAUGAUUUCCUCCUCCGGUGGCCAUAACUAAUUUUGCGUUGGAGGCACUUCUUCUGCUCCCGAUACUCAUGGGUCUAAGGAUGUUGCAUACAGUUUUCUCAAAUCUCGUGGCUACCAUGGCCUCUUCCCUUAGAUCAAGGUUCUCUCUUUUUUUUUUCUCUCUCUCUCUCUUGUGUGAUUGAGGUGAUAUCUCCGAUGAAGGAAUCUUUUAUUUGAAUGAUUUACUAGUACCUACACGCCACACAAGUUCAUAUUUCGGUAUCUGGAUGUCGAACAUGUUACCAUUUUUACCUGAGGAAGAAAACCAAAGAAGUUCAUCGAGAAAUAGAACAAAUUAUCAUUGGUUUUAUUGUCUGCAAGUGUCGUUGUUCUUUCUUAUUAUUUCUGUUGUUUCAAGAUUUUGUUUUUUAUUCCUGAUUCUUUCAUUAUUGUGCAGAUGAUAAACUCUUUGAUGCUUCACAGUAUGCUUUUUUUGGUCGACCUACUACUAAGAAAAUUGAGUUUAGGUGCUUAGAAGAAGAUGAAGAUAAUCCUUCAACUGGAGUUCCUGAUGAUGAAUGCCAUUUAUUUGACAGCGAAGAGGUAUAAUGUACAGUGUGCAUCUUCUGUUUUCACUUCACUCCAUAUUUAUCUUCAUUUAUUGUUCAUAAAUCUAAACGCUUGAGAUAUUAUGCAUUCAUCACUUCACAUUUUAGACAUCUAAAGUCGUUACAAUAGUUUCAAUUAACUUCAUGCAAAUUCAAAUCCCUAAACCUGCAGUGAUAAAAUAUCUCAUCUUUCUAAAUCUUACAUCUUCUUUUUCCACAGGAGCCAGGUGCAAGAUCUGUAUUGGAUUUAGAUGAUCUGUCAACUAUAUUUUCAAAAGUAUAGUUUUGAUUUCAGUUUUUCACAAUAAAGCUGUGAAUUUUUUGAGCCAAAUUAACUAAAUUUCUUGUUUUGUUAAAUAGCUAAACAGAUCAGUAAGCGGACCUAGACAUCUUGGAGUUAUUGGUGAUCGAGGAUCGGGAUCUAUUUCACGAGAAAGUAAGUAUCUAUAUCAAAUCUAUUCAAGAAAUACUUUUGAUCUUCAUUGCUUGUGUAACUUUGUUCAUGUUCUUCUAUAAAAAAUAUACAUAUUUUCAGGUUCAUCUGCUUCAGUAGACCUACUAGAGUGGCUAGACCAAUACAUCUCAGACACAAAAAGUAGCCAUGGAAACAGAAGAUGGUCUUCACAAUCUCAUCUCCCUUCAGACCCUAAACCCUUAUACAGAGCUUCAUCAUACCCUACAGAGAAACACUAAUUCUUCACAGAACCCAUACUCACACCAACCUCAUCUCUCCCUUCAUUUUCACCUGGGGCCCACAACAGUCUCCCCUCGCCACAUCAUCAUUCCCAUUCCCAUUCCCAUUCCCAAAUGCCCUUUUCCAACCUUAAUCUCUCCCCUUUAUCAAACACCUCUAGUCUUCACCUAACCAGUAUCCCACACGGGUCAUGUUAUGGCUCAACCCGAACCCACCAGGUCUACCCUAGGUUAACUCAGUACUCUCAAACACAAAACCAAUGGGCUAAACAAGUGUUGGCCAACAAUCUUCAACAAAAGAUGCUCUUGUCCCAAUGUUUCAACAAAAGCCACUUGGAGAAGUAAAAUUGUUCAACUAGAGAGUCAAGGUUGAACCUGUGGGUUAGCUGUGUCUUUCUCCCAACCCUAUCAUGAGUUACAAGAAUCUUGAGUCUUUAAAGGUUAAGUUAAAUGACCAAUUUACCCUUUGUUGAAAAUUAAGUUCAAUCUACCCCACGUCCAUCAAUUCUUGCCAUUAUAAUUAUAAAUAACCUAAGUUCACUAUAAGGAAACUGUAAUUGUUCUAUAGCCCCACCCUUUCUUUAUACUACUUAAAGCCUUUAGAAUUCUCUCUUUGUAAGCAUUCUAAGAGUAAUUUCAAGUUCCUUCCAUAUUUACAUGUUUCUUCUUACUUUGCUUGCAUCACUUAAUUAUUAAUCAUUUAUUUUAGUAAGCAUGUUUACAUCUUUCUCCAACCAUUUUCCUCAUAAUUUCUUAAUUUUCCCAUUUUGCCCUUGUUGUGUUCUGAAACAUUUUUUGUUUAUGUGGUAACAUAACAAUUAACAAGUUCACUGCAUUUUCUGAGCUAUUACCACUUCUGGCAGUGGGCACAACUCCAUUUUUGAAGGUUGACAAGAUUUGUCAACAAAUCUCUACCACCACCCUUACCAUUGAUAAUUCCAUCGCAUUCUCCUCCCCUUUUUCUACUUUCACCUCCACUGCAUCUACAAACCUUGAAGUCAAAAGUCCCUCAAGAAUCCAACUACCUUUUUAUUUUCAAGUCAAAUGGGACAAAAAACCCGCUCUCAAUCUCUUGUUUAUCAUAAAAAAUUAGCCCUAAAAAGCUUCACUAGUCUACUGGUAUGCUGCAAAUUCUAGAUUGCUUUAAGAAGAUAAAAAGUUAGGUAAAACUGCUCCAUUUUGGAACUUUCGUGCUGCUUCGUAUCCAGAUCUGGAAGCCCCAGCUGCAAUUCCUACUGCCUCAAAUAUAAGUCACAUGGUUGAUGAGAUCUUGAGUGCGGUUUCAGGGGUAUAUUCUUUAAUUCUUUGCAGGUUUCUAUUUGUGAUAAUUUCUUUUUUUUUUUAUUAAUUUGAGUUGUGAUAUAUUUGUUUGAAUGUAGUGAGAUGUUUAUCCUGUGGAGUACUACAAUAGGUUCUCAAUGAAUCAACUCCUUGACCCCCAUUGGGGUGUGCUUUAUGAAGCAGAUGUAAGAUAUGCGUCAAUUUCUCAUUUUUCAUUAAUGUCUUAUCAAUCAUUAUUUACCAAAUAGUUUAUGGGAUAUAUAUAACUCGGAUUUAAUAUUAAUAAAACAGUUAACUGGUCAUAAGUCUCACACUAUGAACAUUCUUGUCAAUAAUGCUCCUCGAGUUCUCAACCUAGUCACCGGAGUUAUAUCCAGAAAGGGUUACAACAUCCAGGUUUGGUUUUUUAUCCUUAUAGUAUAAUUUUUUAGGUGAAAUAUUUACUUUUUUCUUAAAUAACAAUAUUUAAAAAUAAAAGAAUGUGUUGUGUUAAUGUGUGCAGAGAACUGGAGUGGUUGGGGCUGUAUAUAGUUUCUACUAUAAAUAGAUAAGGAUAUGUAUAUAGUUUCUACUAUAAAUAUUGUCCAGGAGAGUGUUUCAAUAGCAACAAUGGCACUUGUUUUAAAGGUGCAUGUCAUUCUCAUUCAGUUAGUUGUUUGUAUGGGGAUGCUAUAAUUCUUAUUGAAGNUUACUUAUUGAAGGUUCUUUGCAUAAACAUCUUUUGAAAAUGGUUUCUCGGUGUUUCUUUCAUGGAUGCAGUUUCUUGGAAAUUGAUCUAGGCCAUUUGAAAGUGACCAAUGAAGUUAGUUGGCAUGGACCUGCGGAAGAUCAAGCAUCUGUUCAUCGUGACUACUUUCUCGGAUUUCUUUUUCACUAGUUGUCUUGCCAUGAAUUUGGGUGAAUAACCUAUCCCCCCUUCUUAUUUUUGUGACAUAAACUAAAGUGAAGUGAAUUCAUGUUGUAGCUCCUUACAUUAUGAUGACAUUAAAUUUUGAUAUACGUGGCUUUAGACCAUCUGUUCUGAAGUUCCCAAGUGCAGAAAAGUUCAGUGAAGUUGCUAAAUUUAUUGGAACAAAGUUUUCUUCUUUAGAAUCAAUUAACUUCACUGCUGACAUUUCUAAAGCAGAAUGAAAAUGACAAGUGAUUUUGGGUUGUGUUUACAGGGUUGAUGAAAACGAAUAGCUCUGGAGUUAGAGGAGGAAAAGAAAGCUCAAGCUGAAAGAGACAAGAUGCUGCAAAUUUAUUUAUUGUAAGAAACAUAGAGUAGAUUAGAUGAAACACAGAGUAGAUUAGAUGAAUGCAAAUUUAUUUAUUGUAAGAAAUAGAAUUUUAUGACAUUAAAUUUUAUGCAAUGAAUUGUAUUUUUUAUAUGGUAUUUUAUUUCUAUUAUGAGACAGUAAAAGCAAAUUUAAUUUAAAAAUUAAUAAAUAAUAAUUUUUUUUAAACAUUUAAAUUUACGAUACGCAAAAAUGUGUGUCAUCUUCAUUUAUGACAUGGCCUUUCUUGACAGGGGUUUUAAUGAUACGCAUUGCGUGUCAUUAACACGUGCGUCGUAAGGUUACGACACGCGAAUGCGUGUCGUCUUCCUUUAUGACAGGGCCUUCCUUGAUACGCAUUGCGUGUCGUAAACGCGCGUCGUAAAUGAGCGUCGUAAAUACGCGUCCUCUAUAGACGACGCGCAAAAGCGCGUCGUCUCUCUUUAUGACAGGGCCUUCCUUGACGCGCAAUGAGCGUCGUAAAAGGCUGUUUUUCUAGUAGUGGGGCAAAAUUGGUGGAUAGGGCGAGGUGCAAGUGAGAUGAUGCCUGUCGUGCAUGAUCAGAAAGGAAUGAGUGAUUCUAUGGCAGGUGGCCGUUGGUCAGAGAGGUUGUUCGGGUUAGAAUUUCAGUGUGUAAAACAAGACGAGACAAUUAAGUCCUUGAGUUCAGAGAGCAGCAGCAAAGGUUGACAGGUAUAUGUUCAGAAUGUGAUCUCCUCACCAGGAAAAGCAACAAUUGGUAUGUUAGAUAAUUUUAGAGACGGUAUGAGUAAGAUGGUAUGAGUAGCGAUCGGCAAUGGGUGAAUUUCCGGGUUAAUGGCGAUGCCCUGUGUUCAAUUUGGAAAGGGGAUACUUCGAGGUUGCAAGUGUUGCAAGAUGAAGAUUGAUUUCGAGAUUCUAAUGAAGGGAGGCAGUAUCCAUGUAUGAUGCUGUGAGUGUGAGAUCAGUUUUUGAGAUAAUGCAUCAUGGGAGGUUGUGAUGGUGUCCUGAAGUAUCGGAAUAUGCGGUCAUCAAGUUUGGAUUAUUUUGGAAUUGUGAGUCGGAGGCAGAUAGUGGGUAUCAAGUGACUACGGUUCCAGUGAGAACCCUAAGGGCAAAUGACAUCAGGUGAAAUAAUUCGGGAAGGUGGUUUGCAGCAGGGAAGGUGUGUUCGGAUGCUGUCAGACAUAGUAGUGCAUAGUUUGAGUAGGUGUGUACACCCACGCAUGGCCGGUCCGCAGGGCAUAAGUUCAUGAUCGCGGUGUGGCGCCUACGUGAAAGUGGGAUUAUGAAGAGGUAAAGGCUGGUGCGGUAAGACUGCGGGGAGCCGCAGUUUAGUGGCUUAGAGAGAGGCUAAAGUGAUGCUACGGGGAGCUGUAGUAUUCAUGGAUCAGAGAGGUUACAGUGAUGCUACGGGGAGCCGUAGUAUUCAUGGAUCAGAGAGGUUAGAGUGAUGCUCUAGGGAGUCGUAGUAUUCACAGAUUCGAGAGGUUGGGCUCAUGCUACGGGGAGACGUAGUACUCAUGGGUCAGAGAGAGGUUGUAGUGAUGCUACGGGGAGCCGUAGUGUUCACGGAUCAAAGAGGUUGGGGUGAUGCUACGGGGAGCCGUAGUACUCACGGGUCAGAGAGAGGUUGUAGUGAUGCCACGGGGAGUCGUAGCAUGCACUAAUGAAGGAAGGGUUGAGAUACUGCGUGGGUGGUAGUACUCUCUAGUUAGUAAGAGAAUGUUGGGAUAACUAUUCUAUGAUCAGGGCAUAACGAGGAAAGAUUGUUUAGUUUGGGUGGCUCAAAUAUAUGAGGUAUGGGAGCCUGAUGGUUAAAUCAGGGACGAGAUUGUGGUUAACUCAUUUGUUUGGACUGGUUAUAUUAGAUGAAAUUGUGGUUGUUGUAGAUGAGUGAGUUAAGUGUGGGUUGCGAGUCAUCAGUCUCGAAAUGAGUGGUUCUUGGGGCGAGUGGUCCAAACCGGGGAUUGAUCAAACUCUUGAGAUGAGUUUGAUUUUAGUAGUGCACUGAGAAGGUGAUAUGAGGUUUCAGAUUCAGAGAAUGAGUACUUUUCUGAAAAGAUAGUUGUCAUCUGGAAUUGAGACCAGAGGUUUAGUGUUUGGAUGGGAUAGUGCAGUGAGUUGCACGAAAUUCUUGAGCCUUAGAUGUGAAGUGUUAGGAGUGAGCUGAUAUUCGGGUGUGGAUUUUAGUGUUCGCUGGGGAUAUUGAGAAUUGGUGACUUGUGUGUCACCAUGGGUUGAAACACUUGUUGUGAGAAGGAAGUGGUAGGGCAUGCAUGGAUCUUCUUUGGAGGUUAAAUAGUGAAAGUCGUGGGUAACCUGGUGCUCAGGGUUAGAAAGGGAGAUCUGGUAGGAAGUUGAGGCUUGAGAUUGCUAUACGUCAGUAGAUGAUUCUGAUUAAACAUAAACAUUUCCCUGAGUUCGAAGGCAAGGUUUUGAGAGUGUUUAUUCAGACGAGAUUUAAAUGAUAGUACAGGGGAUGGGUUUCCUGUGUAGUGUGAUCCUCUCGCUCCUUUGAGAGGGAUGAGGAGCACGUGGUGCGAGUGGUCUGGAUGAUCGAUAGCCGAUCGAUGGUUUUCGUUAGGAAGAAUCAGAGGAAACAGUGAGUUGUCGGAGUUGAUGAUUCUGGUAGAAGGUGGCAUGAGGAUAAUUCGUACGGGAGGUGCCCUCUUUAGUGAUAUUGGUGUGGUAUGAGAUCCUUUGAUGGUAUCUUACGAGUUAUUGGAUUCUAUUUAUGUGGGGUCAAGGAGCGAUUUCGAGGAAGAAAUCUAAUUCAAGUGGGGGAGAAUUGUAACAUCCAGAUUCUUGGGUAUGUAUUAUAUUAUUUAUAUAUUUUGAUUUAAUCGAAGGGACUCGGCGAGAUGGUGGAUUUACUCGUCGAGUAAGGGCGCAAUUUGGUGACGUGUUUAAAUGAAUGGACUCGACGAUUCGAGCAUUGGACUCGCCGAGUCGACGCUAUAGAGGAAAACCCUAAUUGUCCGGGUUUGGGAGCUAUUUAAAGAGCCUUAGGCUUUUCAAUUGCGGCUAUCCUUACCCUGGAGAAACCCUAAAUCGUCCUUGAGAACUUAGAGAGUAAAGAUGAGCCAUCUUGAGCAUUUUGGUGUGUCAUUUCUAAAGUGAAGAUGAGAUUCUAGCAAAACGGACCAGAGGGGGUUGAUGUACUGAGGUUAUGAAGCCUGGAGUUUCACUUUGAGGUAACAAAUCGGACCAUUUCCCCUGUUUGAUGUUGAUUUCAUGAAUCUAGGGUUUCUUAACCAUUCUCUUUAGAGGUUUAUGAAAUUUUUGAGGUCCCAAUGUGGACUAAGCCUUAGAUCUGGACCAUGGGAGGUCUAGAGAGUCCCUUAUGUUCAGCUUUAUGUAGUCAGAUAGAGAGUUUGAGCCUAGGUUUCCAAUUGGAUGGCUAUUUCUUCAUUUAUGGCUCUAAUCAUGAUGCAUGGACGUAAAGUUUGGACCUUUACGUGAUUUGGGUGCUAGAAGGUUAGAUCUACAAGUUGGUGAAGCAGAUCUGACCUGAGAAGGUCAGAUGAGUUUGGUCAUGGAGAAGACUCGCCGAGUCCAUAGGAGGACUCGGCAAGUCUGAUCGAGUUUACACGAGUUUCGUGAUCAGUUGAGACCCGACGAGUUGGGUGGGUGACUCAGUGAGUCGAGUGAGACCUUGUGAGGAAUCUGAUUAUGCAUGUGGACUCACCGAGUCGUUGCCUGACUCGAUGAGUUUGGUCAAAGUUCGACCGUUGACUUCCGUUGACUUUUAGGGUUUAGUCAACCAGUGGACUAUUGGGCCAGGGGAGGGGUAGAAUGGUCUUCUACCCUUCUGGGACCCAUAGUAUGAGACCUGUCUAGCCUUUGAGAGCCACUGCUGAUUUAGAGUUAUUUAUUUUAUGUGAUUAGGCGGCGGUUAGAUCGGUAUUUUGAGUUCGAGACUUUCAAGAAUUACCCAAGAUGAGUCUUCUCACUAUACGUUACUUUGAGUGGUAGUUAUGUGUGACCGGAGGGUCUUAUGUGCUUAUAUUGAGUAUUAUGUUGUACGUGAUAUUCUAUGCAUCAUGUCUGUGUGAUUUAUGCUAUCCGGAGUUUAUAGACUGGACCGGAGGGUCCAACGAUAUAAACCGGACCGGAGGAUUCAACGAUACAGACCGGACCGUAGGGUCCAACGAUACGGAACUGGAGGGUUCCGCUGAUACACACCGACCAGAGGGUCAUAUUGUAGCCUUGACUGGCGUAUGUGUUGUAUGUGGUAUUUUGGGGAACUCACUAAGCUUCGUGAUUACCGUGUUAUGUGUUAUGUGUUUCAGGUUCUUCAGAAUCGCUAGAAGGCGACGGCUCGAUUGUACACACACAAGAGAAAAGAGUGAAGAAUACCGUUCCUGGAAUUUCAUAAUGUUCUGGAAACCUUGUUGAUGAUUUUUAAAUAAAAAGUGUUUAUAUAGGAUAAUGCACAUUUUUAUGAAAUAAAACUGAGUAAAAUUAAUUUAAAAUUUUUCGGUGUUACAAGUUGGUAUCAGAGCCUUGGUUUGAGGGAUUCGGAUACACCUUCGGGUAUGUCCGGACUCAAACUGAGGAUUGAGAAAAAGGUUUUCAAAAGAAAUGGGUUUUCAAAAAGAAAUGUGUAAGAGAAUUUAUAAGAGAAAGAGACAACGAGCAGUGUGUACAAUCAGCCAGCGUCCGAACGGUGAUUUCCCAAAAAUACCCUUACAUUGUGUGUUAUGAGUAAUGUGUGAAAUGUUCUAUAUGCUAGAGAGUAGGUUACGUAUUUCAUAUUUUAGCACUACUGUGGCCUGAUUUGUGAUGCCUUAGCCUAGGAGUUAUAGUUAUCUGUGAAUUACUUUUGUGUAUGUGCGGAUUAUGAGAAUCCAGCAGGAAUCCUAUUUAGAGAACGAUUUGAGUAGAGGAGUAAUCUAGGAGAGAUACCUAGAUGAGCAUUUGAGGAGCCUUCUAAGAAGGUAGUCAGAUACUCGCGAGGGGUGGAGUUGCUUGAGCUCGGUGACGUCUUUGAUUACGAGUGUAGUGAGCGGAGUGGUAACCUAGAGUGGUGGUAACCUAGAGUUGUGAUACGUGUUGAUAAGGGACUGUUCGAUGCCCGAAUGCUGCUUGCUUCGUGCUUUGUCGAAUUCUCGGUGAUGGGAGUCAACUACUAAGUGAAUAUGACGAUAUUCAGGAGAUAGACGACUGGCAUCACUAGGAGUUCUUCAGCAGCUGAUGGCAAGAAGGUGUGGGAACCUAGGAAGAGCCUAGGAAGUGAUCUUUGUUAGAUGAGUAGGCGGAUAAUGGAGAGUAUUCGCAAGAAGAGCGGACACCAGGGCGGAAUUUGUAAGUGAGGAGGUUGAGCAACUACUUUGGAGAUCUGGGAUGAUACAUGUAGAAAGUAUGGGUAGAUGUGGUAGGUAGUAUGGGCCCGUACUACUGAAAGCAGAGGACCCAUACUCGAUACAUGGAAAGUUCCUGGGAUUCUAAGUCGUAGAUGAGAGGGAUCAUAUGGUUUGAGUACCAUGAUCAGUGGCAGAUGAGAGGGGAUUGUAUGGUUUGGGUACCAUUCCUGGAAGCAAGUAGGAGUACCAUGAUUCGAGUACCAUGAUUUAUGGUAGGUAGAGAGAUAGCAACAUUGUUCGAGUACCAUGGCUGCGAUGAUUAGUGUUACUGGUCCUACCAGUUAUGUCAUUAUGUUGAUUAUACCAAGAUCAGGUAUGAGAGAGUAUGCGGCUUGAGGGCCAAUUUGAAUGAGUUCGAGGGAGCAUGGUUGAAAGAGAAAUGGGAUUCGUUUUAAGAGGUUUUAUUUGUGAGGUGCCAGUGGAAACUGCACGGCUUAAGGAUAAGUGGGAUGAUGUUGUUGAAGAGGUGGGGUUCGAGUCAAGCCAUCUCCUAAUGGAUGAGCCAUCACCUUCUAUGGUGAGAGUUACGUGGUUUCCGUUCUUGAGAAGGGGAAUGAGCUAUUGAGUUUCUGGUUCCAGAAAUUGGAGGCCGUGGAGUACUACUGGUGGUGAUCUUUUCAGGGUGUUUGAGCGGUUUGUCCAUGGUGAAGUAUUUCUUGUACCAUAGAGCCAAUGGUGGAAACGGAGAGUCUUGGGUGAACCGUGGAAGUUGGGAUGUCCAGUUUGGAGCAGUACUAUUGGAUUAGUGUCUAAGUCCAUAACUAUUUUGGUAUGUACUUGACCCGAUUAUGAGUAUGGUCCUUUUGGGUUGCCUUCACCAUAGCAACCUGUAGGAUGAAUUAAGGAGAGAAAGGUUUAAAUAUGAUUUAUUAAUAUAUUAUGAGAAUAAUAUAUUAAAGGAGAAAAUCAUAUUGUUUAAUUAAUAUUAAUCAAAAAUUAAUUAAGAAUUAAUUUUGUGGCUAAAAGCGAUUAAUUAAAUUUAGGGGACUGGACUGCAAUUAUUGGAUAAUUGAGUUAUUGAGCUAAGGAAUGCUAAAGGAAUAAGGGGUGAACGAAAUUAUGAUGGAAGCCCAUCAUAUUUUCGUCUAUAGCCUUAUCCAGAAGGUUCCAUGGGCUGCUUAGAGUUUAAGUUGUCCAUUAGUGUUUUGACUGAAACCCUAGCAGCCCACACAAGUAUAUAAAUGACCCCUUAGACCCCAAAAACGUGGACAACAGAUUCUCUAGGGUUUCUAGUCGUUUUUGGGCAGCCUCCUUUCUUCACCUCUUCAUCCAAGUUUCAUAAGGUGUUUGUGACUCCAUUAGAGGUGCAGCACUUGAGGCACUAAGCUUUCUAAAGCCAAUCCAAGCAAGGAAUUGAUUGUUAUUGCUAUACAACAAUCAAAAGUAAUACUAUAAACCCUAAUUCAGUUCAUAAUAUGUUAGAUCUAAGUUUAUUAGUCAUGGAUUCAAAGCAUGUUCAAUAGAGAAACCUAGAUCCAAGCAUUAGGGUUUGUAUGAGCACAUAGGAUUGUUCUUAUGCAUAAAACCCAUCAGUGGUAUCAGAGCCUUGAUUUGUUUCAGUUGUAUGUGAUGCUUAACUGUUUUGUUUGCUAAAAAUCGAGUUUUUGGCCUCUGCCCGGAUCAACUCGGCGUGUCAGUAUCUGGACUCGGCGAGUCCAGGUCUGACUCGGCGAGUUUGUGCGCCAGAAGAGGGUGUUUCGGGAUUUAGCUGUUGUUUUGACUUGGACUUGAUGCUUAAAUUGUUUCAUGAAGUUAAAAUCCGAAUUUUAUCUUCAUUACAUGUUUAUCCUUGCUAAAACAAUAGAUAAUUUCAAAUCUUUUAAAUAUUGGUUCUUUAUGUGAUAAAUAUGGAUUACUUAAAGUUAUUUGGUAAUUAUCUAAUGACUAAAAUAACAUUAGGUCAAAUAUAGAUAAUUAUGAAAUUAAUUGUUUAAUUUUAAUUAUUUGUUAUUUAAUCCCUAAUGUUUUGAAAUGUUUCAAAACUUGCCCUCAAUUUUUGGAAUUUAAAAGUUGAUUAAAAGUUUAAUUUUGAAAUGUGAAAUUCUAAAACCCUAGUAAUUUGAAAAGUUCAAAUCAUACCCUUAUGGUUUUGUUAAUUAAUUAAAGUGUAUAAUUAAAAGUGAUUUAAUAAACCCAUAAAGUUUUGGUUUACUUUUAAUUAAAUUAAAAGUAUAAUCUACUAAAUUAAACCACCUAGUAUUUUAAAAGUGUAAAAUACACCCUAUACUAUAUAUAACAUUAAAAGUCUAAUAUUAUAUAUGUAUGAGUAAAAAGUCAGUCUUACCGUUAGUAGGCCUCAUUCACGAAGCUGGUCUAUAGGGGGUGUCUAAGUAAAUUGCCUAUAAAAUGGCGAUUGAAUGGAUAUCCACUCUUACCCACCGCACUCUUGACUACUGGAGGGUCGUUAGCCGAACGGGUAGGAUAGGACAGAAACCUUCCAUUAUAAGUAUAGGGUUUUAAGCAUUCUAACACUCCUAAGUGUACAUGCAACCCUAUAUACCUUGGAUCUAUGUUUUCUCUAUUGUACAUACAAAUAUGAACAUCCAAGGUAUUAUCCUAAUCUAGCAUACAAAAAAAUGAAUAUAACAAGAUAGAAUACAUACCUCUUUGGUGUAGGAAGUCUUCAUGAAGCUUGAGUGCCUAGUGCCCCAAGUGUGACACCUCAAAUGGUUCACACAACACCAAAUUGACUUGGAAUAACUUGAGAGAAAUCCACAACUCAUGAAAUCGGCUAGCCCUCUCUAGAAUGAUCCUAGUGCCGAUUUUGGUCAAGAAUAAGAUGCUUAUAUAGUUAGGGUUACACCAUGUAAACCCUAAUUGACAUGGCCUUUCAUUUCCAUGAUCCAUGGGUACAAAUACACCAUGGAGCAUCCAUGGACCAUCCUAUGGGUUUUAGCCCAACUUGAUUAUCCAUGGAGCAUUAGCCCACUAUACAAGUAUGGAUGAUUUACACAAUCAACCCAUAUAUUUAAUUAGUCUUCUUUUGAUCACUUAAUUAAUCCUAGAUUAAUUCUUGAUCAAUACUAAUUAAAUAAUCUUAUUAUUCUUAUUAUUAAUAUACUAGAACUUAUAAUAUAUUAAUAACCAUAAGUGUCUUAUUUCUCUCAUUAUAGUCUAUCCAACUGCAUGAUGCCAUGCAACCCAAAUGGACCAUGCCGGGUCGGGUCAAGUCUUACCAAUUAUAGUUAUGGACUUAGACAUUAAUCUAACAGUCUCCCACUUGGAUAAGUCUAUAACAAUUAUUGCGUAUGACUUCAGGAACCGACUGGCAAUCGUAGCUCACAAAAGCUUCAGUCAAACUCUGACCAUGUAGAUAAACUCUGACCUUUGUCAAUGACUUGUCCAUUAGAUAAGGGAUCAUAUAUUCCUCCAUUCUGGAUAUCAUAUGGACUGAGACAUGGAUUGUAAAUCAUUAUCUCCGUCCAUCUGUUGUUUCCCGAUUUCCGAUUUAUGGCGACUGACUAAUUGAACAAAUCAAAUCAGUCAUUGCCCGGCCGAGCACUUCCAUUUGUCAUCAUCAAAUCAUCGAGGGGCCCACAUAUAUCGCUUUUAUCCCGAAGGUAAAAGGAAUGGAUAAACUUCGACUUAUAUGGCUUGUUCUGCUACUUGUUGAAUCAUACACAAAGGCACGUUUUAUAACAUCGAGUUACCAAUGCUUUUUCGUGCAAUCAAUGUACUAUCUACUCAUAGUAACAACUUCAUAUCUCUAGGUUUGAAGAAUAUAAGAUAUUAUCGUCUCAUGAUCACUCGUGAUAAAAUCCAUGAAGUGAUUCCAAUGAGCGCGGGUUGAAUCCAAUACUCAGAACUUAUGAGCACUCAUGAGUGUUGUAGCCCUUUGUCCAACACCUUAGACCUCUAAAAGCCAACCCAUGACAGUCUUAAUUCAUAUCUACUUCCAACAUAUGACCGACUGUGGAUGGUUUGAAUAACUUAGUCGUUCCGGAAGAAUAACCUAGUUUACUCGGGAAGUCAAAACAUGCAACAUGAAACACAAUAAUAACCGAAUCCAAUAUGGUCUCAGAACUUAUGAAUAUAAAUAAAACACCUUUUAUUUAUCACCAUAUGAUUACACAUUAUUCAUUGUAUACUGUUUCAGCUAUCAACUUUAUUCUUGAAUUUAAAACAAUAGUUGUCCCAUGCUCCAAGCAUGUACACUAUGUUUUCUAAACACUAGUCAUGCCACACACCAAGUAUGCAUACUAUGUUUGUCUAUGAUCUUUACUUUGUGAAAUAGAUCAAUUGAACAUAACUCCAAUGAUCCUCUUUUCACAGUCCCAAAUCCUUACUGCAAAUGCAAGAAUUCCAAAUUCAUGCGAUUUACUGAAAUCUGUUAGAUUCUAAACUUAUAUGCAUUGAUCUUCUUGUAAUGAUUAUGCACAAAGUCACAAAGACUUGGCAACAAUCAUUACAGAGUAUUCCAAAGGAGAUCAACUCCUUGGAAAUAUCCUUCUUGCAUUAAGUUUCCUUAAUCUUACACAGAUUGAAAAUUCUAACUUUGAAACAUUUCCAGAUUCCAUUUUGACUAUCACUUCUGAACAAGAGUUGCCUCCUUACAGAUUAUGUCAAUAUGGUCCUUCCAGAAUUAUCACUAUACUUCCAACUGUCCUUGAGCAACCAAUCUUUGGUAAACCUUAGAUUGUCCUCGACAAUUGUUUAAUCCUUUUAGUCAUAUCCAGUUCUAAACCUUUUCCCUUCUUAAUGCCCCAGGCAUUUGGAAAAUUUUAGAACGGAUGAAUAUAGCACAUGUAAUCGAUCCUAUAUCCGAAGCAUAUGGGACACGAUUCAUGAUGUCUCACAUAAAGACUAAACCAGUCUUUUGCUAUAAUAUUUCCAUUUCAAUUUGCCAAGUUCUCAUAAUUCAGAUUAUGAAAAGGGAUGCCGUAAUCAUAAUCGAAUUUUAGAACGCAAAUAAUGGACCCAUAUACAGAAUUUCCUUAUGUUGAGCCAUUCCAACAUGAAAUUCAUAUAUAUCCUUGACUAAAUGAUUAAAACCUCACGAUCUAAGCUUAUAGAUUUGAGAUGAAGUAUAAUUUCCUCUCCCUUAAUUAUAGCAAAACAACUUUUUCCCAAUUGAAACUUUUGUUUUCUAUAAUUAACAUUGCUAACUUGCAAUACUUAUCAUAAUUAUCAUGCUCCCACUAACAUGAUGAUUAUUAGCAUAACACUUAUGCUCCCACUAGCUUUGACAUGUACUCAGAAAUCAGCUGGACUUCUAGAAAUCAAUACUUCAUUGACUUUCUUACCAAAGUUCAGAUUUCUGAUGCUAGAUUGUUUUGAUAAAGCUGUAUCAAAAUCAUACACCUUCCCUUAGAUAGCACACUUGUGUAUCUAAACAAUUAUGAAGAGGGAUGCCGUAAUCAUAAUGUUUAGACCUUUUUGCCACUUCUCACAAGUCCAAAUUAGUGUGCCGGUUAACCACACGCGCUCCACUAACGACUUUGAGAAUGCAAAUAUCACAAUUGCUAUCUAGCUAAAAUCUACUUAGUGAAAGUGUUUCCUCACCAUCAUUUUCAUGAAUCGGAGAGAAACCUUAUGACACUUAGAUUUAAUGGUGUAUGUGUUCUUAUCCAUGUGAAUUGUCAAAACCAUAGUCACAAGACAAGGAUAAUGACAAAUCCAAACUCAUAUGGACUGAACUCAAUCUUAAUUUCUUGCCACCUGGCAGCUCAAGGGCCUACCAUUGCUUCCAAGUUGUUGUGCAACAAAUUGAGAACUCUAAGAACUCAUAUGCAAAACCAACUUUAACUGGAAUGGGCACAGAAUAUGUCAACACGAUAGGUUAUGAACCUCAAGUUGUGUGCUAGUGAAGAACUUUAGGUUUUAUUCUUGAUUAGUUCUUGAGACUUUCAAGACUUUUAAGACUCCCACUGACCUCUUGACCUAUAAGACUCCCUUGUCAAAUAUCCAAGAGAUAGUGUGGAUUCUAAUCAAGACAAACACUUCACACAAUUGGCCUAAGUUGGUCUUUGUUUUAUCCAAAACAUCACAACUUACCAAUUUCAAAUGUACAAGAGUAGAAAACUUUUACUCUUACAUUUGACAAGUGUUUUAAACCUUCUUUAAGACAUGUCACUCAAGUUACAAUCUUGGAGUAUGACUCUAAGACUUGUAUUGGAACGAAGUAUGACUCAUCUUCUUGAUUUAACCAUUUCAACAAUUCAAGUUCCUCUUCUUAGUCAUAAGAAUGCACUAAGAUUUCCUUAGAGAACUAAUUUUGAUAUGGUUUCUUAAUCAUUAAGAUGAUCACAAAACUGAUACUAAAGUACUCUCCCAUCUUUUCAGAUUUGAGAAACUUUUAUCCUUCUGCCUAAUUUGAUUCUUCUUAUUCGCUCUGCCAUACAUUGGAACCUUUUCCAAUGUCUCAGAGUUACACUUAAGCUUGUAAGUAUAAUCAUAUUUACUGAGCUUUAGUAAACCAUGAUGAAUAGUCUUAUCGAUAUUUUAUGGUGCACUUAAUCAGUGCACAAGAAUGUGUACUCGAUCCCUUAGUCCUUUACAUGACUUACACAUCCAUGUGAACAAGUAAUUAGUCUUAAUUUUCCAAUACUUGAAAGUUCUCAUUCAUCAUGUUAUACAACUUGCAUGAUUCCAAGUUCCGGUCCAAUUGAAACUUGGGUGAUGAGAAUCUUUCCUUAUUUGGUAAAUUUAGACAUUACCACAAAUGAAAGAAUCAAUUUCAUAUUUCCACUCUUGCUAUUAAUGGAAUCAUAUAAGCAACAAUUUUUCCUCAAAUGCCAUUGUAAGGAUAUUUUUAAAAUAAAUAAAAUCAAAAAUUUCCUUUUAUUUUAAAACUUUGCGGAAGAACUUAUCCUUACAAUCCAUAUGAAAACUUGUUGUUAUCUAUUCCUAAGCAAUAUCUCAUAACUCCUAAGAAGUAGCUCAAGAAUCCGAUCUUCAAACUACGCGAUAGAAAUCCAUCUAUGCGAUCUGAUUCAACAUAUUGUUCCUUUAAGUUUCUUCACUUUUCUUUGAUUCUUAAAACAUCACCAUGUGACCCAGUCACAUCAUGUAUCAAGAAUCUCAGAAUAGAAACUUAGCAGAGUUAGAUAGUGGACUUUACCUGAAGUAGAGUCAAACUUAUUGACUUUAACAUCCUUAGGUAAAUUUGGUAGCUUCGCAACUAAUAACCCUUCCUUUAGAAAUAUAAACAUAUGGACCCUAUGAUAAUGGUACACGGGAGUAUCUCAGACUUAGUCUUUCUCUUUACCAUUUGGUCAAUCGAGUUGACCAUGGCCAAUUCCUUUCCAAUGGGAAGAGAAUGCUUCUCUUGAUUUCCUGUGUCACUAUUAUCAAUGUCCAUCAAGUUUUAAGGAAGUUGAUCUUAACAAAUAAAUAAGAUCAUUAAGGGUCUUGUCAUAGUCUGUUUCAUAGGUGUCCCAAAGGAACUCACUAUGUGACUUAGAAAGUGAUUGAACCACCAACUUUCUCAAGACUUUGACACCCAACUCUCCCGGCUUGUCAAUAUGUGACUACAUCUCCAAGAUGUGAUCACACCUAGACCUUGCCUUGCCAAUAGGGCUUGAGUGACCUUAAACUUUUCAAGAACUUGUGGGUUAGGGAGAAUAAUUGGAGGAGGUGAAAGAAGUAUGAUUUCCAUGGGACAUCAUCUUCAUUUAGGAAAGCUUGUUUCAAGAGAUUUGGGAAGAUCAUAAAUGUCUAAACCAGACAUGUUUUGGGAGAUAUUCAAGAUAGUUGAUCUAAAGUCCUUAAUAUGACAACCAAUAUGAAAUAUUAAGGCUAGGACCCAACAAACUAUUUUAUAACUUAGAAGAUGGAUGCCGUAAUCCAUGCUAUAAAAUAUUUGAGGGUAGGUGAAUGACGAUUCACCAAUUUCCACCAUGAAAAACGAAAUAAUAAUUAUCUUUUUUAAUUGGAUGUGAACUCCUAGAUCUUUGAGAUUCAUUGAACUUUUCAAAGGCAUGUUUCAAUCUCGAGUGUGCCCUUCAGGUUUUGUGACUGGGAUGCCGAGGAUCACAAAACAAGGUGUGAAGUAACCAUGCAAAUCACUUGGUACCCUUAAUAAAUUACCCCUCAAUCGAUGUGCCGGUUAACCACACACGCUCCAUCGAUACUAUGAUAAAUAUUAAGUCACCCUUUACCUACCUUGUUAAGUCCAAGUUAGUGUGCCGGUUAACCACACACGCUCCACUAACGACUUAAACAAAGUGUAAAGUGUAAUUUCAUGGAUUAGCACCUUAUUCACAUUUUUCCUAAGUAACUAAGAUUGGGUAUUAUUAAGAGUUUAGUUACUUAGUAUUAUCAUUAAUACUUUUAAUGAAGGGAGAAUUCUAGUCCUGUCAAACCCGUUCGGCUAACGACCCUCCACCAGUCAAGCAAGCGGUGGGUGAGAGUGGACACCCAUUAAGUUGCCAUUUUAUAGGCAACAACCUUAUACCCACCUUAUAGACCGGCUUCGUGAAUGAGGCGUACUAGCGGUAAGACUGACUUUACUCUUAUACAUAUAUAUAUUAUUAACUUAUAAUAUUAUAAAGUAUAAGGGUUGAAUUUUAACUUUUAAAAUUCUAAGGGCUAACUUGGAAUUAAAGUAUUCAUAAGUGAAAACUUUUCAAAUUCCAAAACUUGAGGGCAAGUUUUGAAACUAUUCAAAACUAAUUAAUUCCAUAACUUAUGUGUUUAAAGUAGUUUUAAUCCAAAAACUCUUCAAGUUCCAUAACUUGAGGACAAGUUAUGGAAGACUUUAAACUAAUAAAAGAAUUAACUUUUCUUUAUUUUAUAACUUAUGGAAUUAAUUAAGGUUACACUUUAUUUUUUUAUUAAUUAAUGAAGUGACUCUUGAACCUCCAUAACUUAAGGACAAGACUCUUCAUCUUUUGUAACCUUUGCCAACUUUUAUGAGUUUUAUGAAACUUAAAUGUGACUUUUCAUAUAACUUGAGGACAAGUUACAAAAACACAUUUUAGAAUCAACUCUUAGAUUAAUUUGGAUUGAAAACAACUAUUUCACUCAACUUUUCUAUUAAUCUAAGCAACUCAUAAGAACAAGAUAAUUCAAAUCAAACUUUUUCAUGUAAUUAGUCUAAACCUUAAACUAAUACAAAACAUGAAUCUAUUGACAAUUAUCUUUGAAAUUGGAUUAGCAUGAACAUUACCACAUCAAAAACAAGUUUAUAAGUUCAAAAACAACUUAGGGUAAUGUUCCUAGUCCAUUUCUAGCCAAAAAAGUCGAAUAUAUGCUGUAUGGGGAUCCUACUCGUCGAGUGCAUGAACCUACUCAGCGAGUAGGAUGAUUUUACUCAUGGACUCGGCGAGUCCAGUGCCCAGAAAGCCAGAAAAUCGAGUUUUUCAUCAUUUUUCAGCAAUUUGCAUCAAGUAUAAUAGGAAACAAGCCUAGGAUCUGAUACCACUGUUGGGUUUUAAGCAUUCUAACACUCCUAAGUAUACAUGCAACCCUAAAUACCUUGGAUCUAUGUUUUCUCUAUUAUACAUACAAAUAUGAACAUCCAAGGUAUUAUCCUAAUAUAGCAUACAAAAGAACGAAUAUAACAAGAUAGAAUACAUACCUCUUUGGUGUAGGAAGUCUUCAUGAAGCUUGAGUGCCUAGUGCCCCAAGUGUGACACCUCAAAUGGUUCACACAACACCAAAUACACUUGGAAUAACUUGAGAGAAAUCCAUAACUCAUGAAAUCGUCUAGCCCUCUCUAGAAUGAUCCUAGUGCCGAUCUUGGUCAAGAAUAAGAUGCAUAUAUAGUUAGGGUUACACCAUGUAAACCCUAAUUGACAUGGCUUUUCAUUUCCAUGAACCGUGGGUACAAAUACACCAUGGAGCAUCCAUGGACCAUCCUAUGGGUUUUAGCCCAACUUGAUUAUCCAUGGAGCAUUAGCCCACUAUACAAGUAUGGAUGAUUUACACAAUCAACCCAUAUAUUUAAUUAGUCUUCUUUUGAUCACUUAAUUAAUCCUAGAUUAAUUCUUGAUCAAUACUAAUUAAAUAAUCUUAUUAUUCUUAUUAUUAAUAUACUAGAACUUAUAAUAUAUUAAUAACCAUAAGUGUCUUAUUUCUCUCAUUAUAGUCUAUCCAAGUGCAUGAUGCCAUGCAACCCAAAUGGACCAUGCCGGGUCGGGUCAAGUCUUACCAAUUAUAGUUAUGGACUUAGACAUUAAUCCAACANUGCCUAUAAAAUGGCGAUUGAAUGGGUAUCCACUCUUACCCACCGCACUCUUGACUAGUGGAGGGUCGUUAGCCGAACGGGUAGGAUAGGACAGAAACCUUCCAUUAUAAGUAUAAUGAAGUACAAAGUAACUAAAUGCUUAUACAAAUUCCCAAAUCAUAGUUACUUUAGGCAAAAUGUGAAAUUGUAUGCUAACCCAUGGAAUUACACUUCGUACCCUUGUCAAACGUUAGUGGAGCGUGUGUGGUUAACCGGCACACUAAUUUGGGGAUGACAUUGGUGGCGAAGGGUGGCUCGAUGCUUAUCAUAGAUCAAUGGAGCGUGUGUGGCUAACCGGCACAUUGAUUAGGUGAUAGUAGCAUUGGGUGCACCACGUGAUUCGUAUGGUUAUUCACACCUUGUUUGUGAUCCUCGGCAUCCCAGUCACAAAUAGUAGGGCAUAAUCGAGAUUAAACAUGCCAUUGAAAAGUUCAAUGAAUCUCAAAAGAUCUAGGAGUUUCUAUUCAUUUAAAACUUAAACUUCCUUUUCGUUUUUUGUGGUGGAAAUUGGUAAAUCGUCAUUUACCUACCUUCAAAUAUUCUGCAACUAGAUUACGACAUCCUUCUUCUAGGUUGUAGAGUAUUGUCUUGGAUCCUAGCUUGAUGUUUCAUUUAGGUGUUACAUCAAGAAUUCUAAUCAACAUAACUUGAGUUUUCUCCCAUUUUGUAGAUGUCUGAAUGUUACAAUGGUCUUCCCAGAUCCUUUGGAACAAGCUUUCCAAAUGAAGAUGACAUUCCGAGAUACGAUCAAGGAAAUGAGAGUCAUGCUUGACUUCCUCCACCUCCUCCAAUUGUUCUCCCUGACCCACAAGUUCAAAGGCUUGAAAAGUUCAAGCUCACUCAAGUCCUUUUGGCAAGUAAACACGAAGAUGGGAGACCUGUGUGUGCACACGUCUUAGAGAUGAAGUCACACAUUGACAUUGGCAACAUUGGAAUUCCCAAACUUCAAUGGACAUUGGCAACAUUGGAAUUCCAGAAAGAACUAAGUCUGUGAUUGUCCGAUGUGCUGUGCCAAAGGAGUCCAUUUGCUUUUGUUGCCAAGAGAAGGGGCAUUGGAGACGAAGCUGCCCUAACUACCUGAGAGAUCUAAGAGAUGGGAGAGUCAAGACGUAUGGUUCUACUUCAGGUAAAAUCCAUUAUCUAACUCUUUUGAGUUCCUAUUCUAGAUUCUUAAUACAUGAUGUGAUAAGAUUACAUUUUGAUGUUUUGUAGGAUCGAAGAAAAGAGAGGAAGCUUGAGGGAAGAAGUGAGCUGAAUCUAAUCAUGAAGAAAUGGAUUUCGAUCGCAUUACUUGAAGAAUGGAUUCUUGAGCUACUACUUGGAGUUAGAAUAGAUUGUUAAGAAAUAUGUAAUAACAUAGUUUUUCCAAUUGAAUUGCAUUGUAAGGACAAUUUUUUUUCCACAAUAAAUUAAUUUUGAUUUUAUCUUAUUUAUUUAUCCUUGCGAUCUCAUGUAUGAAAAAAAAAUUGAUGUUUGAAUGUUUCUAUUAUUAUCAACAAUGGAUUUGAUUCUUAAUUAUGUUAUUUGUGGAAAUGUCAAAAGUUUACCAAAUAAGGAGAGUUUCUCAUCGCCCAAGUUUCAAUUGGACAGAAACUUGGAAUCAUGCAAUGUGUAUUGUAUGAUGAAUGAAAAACUUUCACAUUUGGGAAACUUAGACUAAUUCUUUGACAAAGUGUCAAUCGAAGGACUAGGAGAUCAAGUACACUAGGUUGUGCGUUGAUCAAGUCCACCACAAGAGUGACAAAGAUAUUCGUCAUGAUUUACUAAAGUUUAGUAAAUAUGAUUAUACUUAUAAGAUUAAGUGUAAUUCUGAGUUGAUUGAAAAAGUUUCAAUGAAUAGUAAAAUGAAUAAAGAAGAAUCAACUAGGCAGAAAGAUAAAAGUUUCUCUAUUCUAAGAAGAAGGGAAAGUACCUUUUAUAGUGUUUUAUGAUAAGUCUUAAUGAUUAAGAACCAUGUCUCAAUUUAUCCUCUAAGUGAGUCUUAGUGCAAUUGCAUGUCUAAGAAGAGGAAUUGAGAAUUGUAGAAAUGGUUAAAUCAAGAAGUCAAUCAUACUUCGUUCCAAUAUCAAGUCUUAGAGUCAAGAUUGUGACAUUGAGUGAAAAGUCUUAAGUAGGUUUAUAACACUCAUCAAAUGUGGAAUUUGGAAAAGUUUUCUUAUUCUUGCACAUUUGAAAUUGGUAAGUUGUGCUGUCUUGGAUAAGACAAAGACCAACUAGGACCAAUUAUGUGAAGUGUUUUGUCUUGAUAAGAACUACACUAACUCUUGAAUAUUUGCUUUGUCAAGAAAUGUUUCUUGACAAGAGAAUCUUAUAUGUCAAGGAGUCAGUGGGAGUCUUAAUGGUCUUGAAACGUUUCAAUAACAAAUCAAGAAUAAACCUUAUCGUGCUGACAUUAUUUUGUUUCUGUGCCAUUCCAACUAAGUUAAUUGUGUAGUGAGUUCUAUGGGUUCUCAUUUGAAUGCAUACUAGAGCCUUAGUCGAUGGAAAGUACAUUGAUAUGUAAGGACAAGUUACUAAACUACUUGGAAGACAUGGUGGGCACUCGUGUUACCAUAGGGCAAGAAAUCAAGAUUAAGAAAGUUCAGUCCAUAUGAGUUUGGAUUUGUCGCAAACCUUGGUUUUGGCAAAUUCACAUGGAUAGGAACUCAUACACCAUAAAAUCUAAGUGUCAUAAGAUUCCCUCCUUCAUGAAAAUGACUGUGAGGAAAUGCUUUCACUAAGAGAGAUUUUAAGAAGAUAGCAAUUGUGAAAAUUGUAUUCUCAAAUUCGAUUAUGGUUACGGCAUCCCUUUCCAUAGUUCGAAUUGUGAGAUUUGGAAAUUAGGUUGAACAUUUGGAACUUAGUAACAUAAGUUCUGAAUUGUUUAAACACACAUAUGAGUUAUCUAAGGUAAAGGUGUAUAUGUUUAAGAAGCUUAGCUAAAGGCUUAUCGAAGCAUCUGGUAUUAGAAAUAUGAAUUUCAGAGAUUCAAUAGGCAUUGUUUUCUGAAAGUUCAUUUGUUUUCUGAAUACAUGUCAAAGCUAGUGGGAGCAUAAGUGUUAUGCUUAUAUGAUAAUAAUCAUCAUGAUAGUGGGAGCAUAAGUGUUAUGCUUGUAUGAUUAUUAUGGCAAGUAUUGCAAGUUAGCAAUAUUAAUUAUAGAAAAACAAAGAUUCAAUUUGCAAAGUUGCAUGGGUUGAAAAGUUGUUUUGCUAUAAUUAAGGGAGAGAAUAUUAUACUUCGUUUCAAAAUCUAAAGCUUAGAUUGAGAAAUUUUAAUAUCUUCAGUCAAAGGAUACAUUGUGUGUUCUCAAAUUUCGAUUGUGAUUACGGCAUCCCUCUUCAUAGUUCGAAUUGUGAGAACAUGACACAUAAAAUAUUAUUGCAAAAGAUUGGUAAAGUAUCAUAUCUUUAUGUAAGACAUUAUGCAUCGUGUCCCAUACGCUUCGGGUAUAGGAUCGAUUGCAAAUGUUAUAAUAUUUAACAUUAUGCAUCGUGUCCCAUAUGCUUCGGGUAUAGGAUCGAUUGCAAAUGCUAUAAUAUUUACUAUUCUAAAAUUUUCCAAAUGUCUAGCGCAUUAAGAGGGAAAAGGACUAGAAUUGGUUUUGACUAAAAUAAUUAAACAACUACGAAAGGACAAUCCAAAGUUCGCUGAGGAUUGGUCGCUUGUGAGUAGUUGGAAGUAUGGUAUUGGAUGGACCAUAUUGACUUUAUUAUGAAUCGAUAAGAUUCUAUUUAGAAUGAGUUGUCAUAUGGAAGAUGAGGAAAUAUUUCCAUAUUGGGAGUUGGAUAUUAAGAAUCUAUGUCUAGAUUAGAAACUUUUAUGCAAGAAGGAUGUUCAAAGGAAUGUACUUUGAAUGUGAGACUUCGCGUCUAUGGAAUUGUCUUGCAACAAUUUCUGAUAGAGUACUUUGUAAUUUCAUUAGCCAAGUCUUGGUGACUUUUGUGCUAUGACUUUACGAAAGGACCGUUGCGUAAAAUGUUAGAAUCUAACAUAUUCUAGUAGUGGCAAGAACCUUGUGUUCUUACAUUAACAAUGGGGAUUAAGGAAUUGUGAAAUGAGAAUCAGUGGAAAAGUGUUCAAUUGAUCUAUGUCACAAAGUAAGGACCAUAGGAAACAUAGUGUGCAUGCUUUAUGCAUGGGAUAGCUAUUGUUGUAAUUCGAAUAAUAAUUUAAUUUUCUAAAACAGUAAACGAUAAUAAUGAGUAAUCAAUAUGGUGGUUAAAUAGAAGUGUUUUAUUCACUCUCACAAGUUUGAGGCCAUAUUGGAUUAAGUAUUAUUGUUAUGUUUCAAUUUGCAUGUUUUGACUUCCAGAAUAACAAGGUUAUUCAAACAUCAAUAGUCGGUCAUACGUUGGGAGUAGGUAUGAAUAAAGACUGUCAUAAAUCUGUCUGUAGAUUGUCUGAAGUGUUUAGACAUGGCACAAGUUCGCUGCAGAGUUCAUGAGUGCUUUGAUAAGAUUACAGUAUUAGAUUAAACCCACGCUCACUUGGAUCACAUCAUGGUUUUAUCACGAGUGAUUAGUGACACAAUAAUAUUGUAUAUUCUUGAAACCGAGACAUGUGAGUUGUUAUUUCUUGGUCGGUUGCACAUUGAUAAUAAGUAAACGCACCAGUAACUUGGUGUUAUAAAACUUAUUGUUGUGUGUGAUUCGAUCAAUAAAUGCAAGCGAGCAUUUGAGUCGAAGUUUAUUCAUUCCUCUUACCCAAAGUGGGAUAAAAGCGAUAUUUGUGGGCCUCUCGAUGAUUUAGUGAUGACACCUAAGCGCUUGGCCAAACCGGGACUAAGUUGAUGUGUAUAAUUGUGUGACAACCCGAAAUUUCCAUUUGUACGAACAUUAUCUAUUCAAUAGAAGUUAGUCCAGUUUCAGUGAAUUUCAUACUUUUCCGAAUAAGUUCGUGUACGUUAGGGUCUACAUUUAAGGAGUUAUCAGGAGAGUGGAUGCUCAUGGGUUUGUGAAACUUGAACAUUCCAAGUUUCAUAAUGUUAUAGUCCAAUUUCUAGAAUAAAAAUAUUUUCUGUCAAAAUAUUUCAGGACUAUAAAUAGAUUUAUGAAUUAAAUUAAUUCAUUAUUCACACUUCCAAAUAGAGAAAAGCCAUUUUCUCUCUCACAGAUCUUCGGGUUUUCAUCCCAUAUCGUGAGUCUACUUUCCUAGAUGUGUUUUAAUACUAGUUAUAUGCUUUAUAACAUUGAUUACAUGUUGCAAGAUCCGGGACUUUACCGCCCAAGAACGUUCUUGGGGAGUAAACUCCAAAAUGGAGCUUUAAGGCUACCUAGUCCCAUUUCCUUGUUAGAUAACUAGUUAAGGACUUUAUGUAUGAACAUUAGAGGCUAGAAAUCAAUCAAGAUCACCUAGUUUUAGGAGUUUACGGCCAAGGAUAUGCUCUUGGGCCGUAAACACCUUUUUCAAGGGCUAAGAGUGCCCUAAACACCCCUAAGGCUUUAAGACAAUUACCCUCAAAUACUUGUAACUUGAAUGGGGAGUAAAUUACAUCAAAAUCAUCCCUUAAAGGGAGUUUACGGCCAAGGAACAUCUCUUGGGCCGUAAACUCCAAGUAAAGGCACAAAGGUGUGCCUAAAGUCCCCUUUAGCCUUAAAAAAAACCUAGAAGCUAUCCUUUAUGUGCAAGUGACUUAAAAGAAUUAAAACAAACACCCCAUAGGAGUUUACGGUCAUAAACUCUAGGGGUUAAGGUCUUUAGGCCGUAAACUCCUCUAUGGAGCAUUCUAGGGCCUUAAACUACUUCAAGGAUUAUUCCACAAAUGCUAGGCUUAUUCUAGGAUUAGUUUAGCACCUUAAAACACCCAAAACCACCAAGAGUGGAGUUCACGGCCGUAAACUCAAGGGUUUACGACCGUAAACUCCAAGGGUGGGGUUUGUUGGGUGGUAAAAACUUAUUCAAGGUUCUUGGAAGCUUCAAACCCUUUUGCCUUGUACCGUAGCAACUUAGAUGCAACCAUUAGGACCNNNNNNNNNNNNNNNNNNNNNNNNNNNNNNNNNNNNNNNNNNNNNNNNNNNNNNNNNNNNNNNNNNNNNNNNNNNNNNNNNNNNNNNNNNNNNNNNNNNNNNNNNNNNNNNNNNNNNNNNNNNNNNNNNNNNNNNNNNNNNNNNNNNNNNNNNNNNNNNNNNNNNNNNNNNNNNNNNNNNNNNNNNNNNNNNNNNNNNNNNNNNNNNNNNNNNNNNNNNNNNNNNNNNNNNNNNNNNNNNNNNNNNNNNNNNNNNNNNNNNNNNNNNNNNNNNNNNNNNNNNNNNNNNNNNNNNNNNNNNNNNNNNNNNNNNNNNNNNNNNNNNNNNNNNNNNNNNNNNNNNNNNNNNNNNNNNNNNNNNNNNNNNNNNNNNNNNNNNNNNNNNAACUGUUUAUCAAACUGUUUUACUUCAAAAUGUUUUACAAACUCUUUUACUUAUCAAAUGCUUUUAUUAAACUUUAGUUUAUUCCUUAUAAAUUGCAUGCCCAUAUAUGUAUAGAUAUAUAAGAAAUGUUUAAAGGGCUUAGGAAGGCCAUCCGCCCUAUUUCCUUUUUCUCGAUUUGGAUGUGGUCUGGUGGGACUUCGGGUAACCGUCCGAAGGUCGUUUCAAUAUUACUUAUAUAUCAUAUAUACAUGUAUAGACAUAAAAUACUUCCGUAUUCAUACUUCUCAGUACAUCAUUAGUAAGUUACCAUCGGGGUAACACAGGAACAUAUACAACUAUACUAGAAACAGAACNAACAACAACAAUCGCAACAACAUAUACAACUAUACUAGAAACAGAACAUAUACAACUAUACUAGAAAGCGAACGUAUACAACUAUACUAGAAAGAGAACAUAUACAAUUAUACUAGAAACAGAACAUAUACAACUAUACUAGAAACAGAACAUAUACAACUAUACUAGAAACAAAACAUAUACAACUAUACUAGGAGGAGAACAUAUACAACUAUACUAGAAAGAGAACAUAUACAACUAUACUAGGAGGAGAACAUAUACAACUAUACUAGAACGAGAAACAUUACCUAUACAUGAACACGUCAACAAUUGUGAUCCACUGUGUCGGAGCAUGCCUUAAAUGUCAUGGCCCAAGUUGUAGCCAGAAUUCUCUUGGAGGGAGAUCGUGAGUUUGCGUAUAGAUCUAUACUGGAUUGACAAUCCUACACCUUGUUGCUAGCUGCAGCCAGACCUGUAGGUCUGGGGGUGCGAAACGUCAUUCUGUUAUUACGACCAUUCAUUAUGUCGUUGUUACCAGUCGAUAGCAUGGUGCAAUUUAUCACAUUAUACCUUAAUAUAAAUCCGGUUUAUGAUAGGUAGUACAUCAGUAGUUUCUAUAAUACAAAACUACAGUACUACAAUGAUUUACCCAUUACAUAUUUUAGUGAUAACUUCACUUAAGCAUUAAUGUACAAACUAGAUUUUAUUACAUGAUAGUUACACUUGGGAAAUUACACACUUUUACAACAAACGAGCAUACAAAACAGUUAGGCCUUGGUAGAAGGCUACUUUAAUAGAAAAUAUAGGUUUUUCUGAGAGAUUCAAAAACUUUCAAACACUUACUUAUAUCUUACAAACUUGUACAUUGAGACAGGUUCAAACGUUUUUGACAACAAACAUCGACACUAAAAUACUUAUGAACUCACCAGCUUAAUGCUGAUAAGCUCUUUCAAAAUAACUUGUAUUCUCAGCUCAUCAGUAGACAGGUACCAAUGCCAGCUUUUGAGAAGAUGAAGAGCAUUCAAGACUCUUAUUAUUUUGAUUUACAUUAUUUUUGGUGUCUAUAACUGUACAGAACACGCUUGUAUUAAAAUUAUAUAUUUAAUGCAAUGGAGGAUGUUGUUUGCUUAUUUACAUUUACUGUGUUGUGAUACUAUACAUGACGUCCUCCGCCCCAGAACGUUUCCGCCGUUCUUGGUUUUGGGGUGUGACAGAUUGGUAUCAGAGCAUUGUUUAUAGUGAAUCAAGUAUAUCAACCCAUAAAAGAUAUACUAAACUAUAAACCCAAUAGGGAUUAAAGCACUCUGACCAAGAGUCUAUACUUUAAAUAUUAAAAUAUUUAAUUAAGUAUACUAGUCUGCAUUCAUACUAAAAUCAGUGUCACAAUGACAAGAACAAAAGUAUUACGAUUGUUAAAUAUCACAAGUGAGCUCGGGGAUGUAUGGUCAGUCCUGGGAAUGGCAUAGCCUGAUCAACUAUGCUGGUCCGAGGAGUGAUUAGCAUAUGCCCUAGAAUGGUUGUGAUGUGUUAACAAGUCUAAAAACUUACCAACAAUACCACAAGAAGAUCAGUAGAACUUAAACUUAAAAUACUAUAGGUGUAUUUUGUACAACUAGUUACAUGUAUACUAUAUUCUUAUACCUCUCUUCUCGCGUAGAUUUAAAUGGCUGGAUUCCAAUUUGGCGACCCGUACUUUCCAAAUCAAGGCAAUGCCGGGUGGAUCGAAGAAGAGCCCGAAGAUGACCAUCCAAUCCUUUUGGAUGAUCACCUCGCAGAAGGCUUCUCUGAUGGAUCUGACUCCAAGCCUGAAGUCAACAACCUACCGCUAGUAGGUCAAGCCCCGAACAACAAUCCCCGACCAGCUUUUCCAAGUCCUACUCCCUUGUGGGCAACCAAAUUGAAUCGCUGGAGCGACGAACAGGGUCAACCCUUACCUUACUUUGGGGACCGAACCUUCUACAACGUUAGCGAUGGUGGCUCUACUGACCGAGCUCUGCCUGUCAUUAUCCGCAGAAUAGCUCGUAAUGUCGAGCAAGGUCGAGCAGCCAUCGACCAGGUCAUGGAGAUUGAUGCCAACUCUGGUGUCAACACAGUCCGCAUCCGCCGUCUGGAAGAAGACAUGGAACGGACCCGGAGAACCAAUGAAACCCUACAGCAACAGCUGGCUUCCUCCCGAGCUGAAGUCGUAUAACUUCGAGCCCGACAGAGAGCUCAGGAUUGACACCUUCAAGAGGUAUUUCGUCAAGUGACAGACCUCAGGGCUCGCCCGAGGAAUUCCCAUCGCCGUUAGAUGACGUCUAGUACAUCUCUGUCUUUUGAUUAAGGAAUAGCCUUGAACAUUUGUGCUCUAAGUAGCACUUGCCUGUAAAUAUUCCUAACUUUUAGUACUCUAAUUAGGAAUCUAAGAACUGUCAAACUUUCAGUAUGGUAUGAUGUAAGACCUACUGUUAGGUCGAUUUUCCCUGAACUUAUUACAUCAGUAAUACCAGUAUGAUUGACAUCUAUCUAUCUGUGGGAAAAAUCUAUACACUUGUGUUUUCCUACUGCUAUUCCUUGUUGUGAUUUCAAACACUCAUUCAAUUGUUGGGCUAUGGUUAGUUAGUCCAUGUGUCACUCUCACGAUUUCUUACAAAUUAAUUCUUACCAUUUUUCUUAUCUUUAUAAACUUAUAGCUAAAAGAUGCCUCCUCGCAAAUCUCCCAGGAAUAACCAUGCACCUCCACCGCCUCCACCACCUCCGGUCAUUGAUACUGCAGCCCUGAAUGCUGCUGUAGCUGCAGCAGUAGCAACUGCCAUGGCUCAAUAUCACUCUUCUGAUGCCAACAGAGGUGGAACCCCUACUGAAUCCACUCCGAUUGAAACCCCUGUGCGCUCGAGAGAGUGCUCCUACAAGGAUUUCACCAAUUGCAAGCCGAAGUCCUUUCAUGGACCGGCGGAGUCAUUGCCCUCUCGCAAUGGUUCGAGAAGACUGAAUCAGUCUUCGAAAUCUGUUCAUGCCCUGCUGCGAGCAAAGUCAAAUAUGUCGCAUGCACAUUUGAGGGAAAGGCCCUAAUGUGGUGGAACGGCCACGUUAAAGCUCUAACACUCGUCGCGGCUAACGACAUGGGCUGGGAAACGAUGAAGGACCUCAUGACUGAGGAAUACUACCCGAGGGGCGAAGUCCAGAAAUUGGAACUGGAACUCUGGAACCUGACCAUGAAGGGCACCAAUGUAAUCGCUUAUACUGCCCGAUUUAGCGAACUGGUGGCCCUCUGCCCCAAUAUGGUUCCCACUGAGGGGAAAAAGAUCGAACGGUACAUAUGGGGGCUAGAGCCUCCAUAUCAGGGGAAUGUCCUAGCAUCAAACCCCGCUACCUUCGACAGUGCCAAGCGAUUGGCACAACGACUCAUUGACCAUGGACUCAAAACCUCUGCAACAACAACCACCCUAGCCAUCUCGGAACCCUCCAAACCCGCUGACACUAAGCGGAUGUUCUGGGAUGACAAGAAGAAGCAGCGAGCUGCCAAGAAGCAGCAAAUCGUGGCAGUGCAUGCCGCGGUAACCCCAGCUACUGUUACUGCUCCGAUGAAGCAGUAUGCUGGAAGUUUGCCAAAGUGCAACAAAUGCAGCUUCCCCCACAACGGCUGCUGCCGUGAAAUGCAGUGCUCUAACUACAACAGGAAAGGACACACCGUUCGUUUCUAUAAGUUACCGUCACAACCGAUCACCCAAGUCCCCGGCUCUGGCGCGAGCCCAACUUGCUAUGGAUGUGGUGAGGCAGGCCACUCUAAGAAGGACUGCCCCAAAGCGAGAAACGCUGGAGGAGCAGGGAGGGUAUUAGCUAUAGGCCACGGGGAAGCAGUUGUUGAGCCGACAAUGGUGACUGGUACGUUCCUCCUUGAAAACUCCUAUGCAUGCAUUCUGUUUGAUAGUGGAGCGGAACGAAGCUACGUAAACCAUAAAUUUGCCCGCAUACUUAAGCAACAACCACACACACUCAAAGAACAAUUCCCAGUAAAAAUGGCUAAUGGGAAAACUGAAAGUACAAUUAGCAUAUACUUAGGUUGUAUCCUAAGUCUGGAUAACCAUUCAUUCCUAAUCGACCUCAUGCCGGUCUCAAUAAAAAGCUUCGACGUUAUUAUUGGCAUGGAUUGGUUAAGUCUUCAUCGCGCCGACAUCAUGUGCUACGAGAAAGCAGUCCGUCUAAACCUCCCGUCUAACGAAACUCUUAUAGUCUAGGGCGACAAACCUGGUGCGAGUCUUCGCAUUAUAUCAAGUAUUCAAGCACAAAAAUAUCUGCGCAAAGAACACCAUGCAUUCCUUGCUCACGUCGUCGACACGAACCUCGAAACGAAAGAACUAAAGAACAUCCCAGUAGUGAGCGACUUCCCCGACAUUUUCCCAGAAGAACUACCCGGAUUACCUCCGCAACGACAAGUCGAGUUCAGAAUCGACUUAGUCCCAGGAGCUACCCCAGUAGCCAAGUCGCCCUAACGUUUAGCACCAGCUGAGAUGCAGGAACUCUCUGGUCAACUUAACGAACUGCUCAGCAAGGGCUUUAUAAGACCAAGUUUCUCACCUUGUGGAGCACCGGUCUUGUUCGUUAAGAAGAAAGACAGAUCAUUUCGUAUGUGUAUCGACUACAGAGAACUCAACAAAUUGACGGUCAAGAAUCGUUACCCUCUACCUCGCAUAGAUGAUGUAUUCGACCAACUGCAAGGCGUGAACUAUUUUUCCAAGAUUGAUCUGAGAUCCGGGUAUCACCAGUUACGAGUGCUAGAGGAGGAUGUGCCGAAGACCGCCUUCCGAACUCGUUACGGACAUUACGAGUUCGUGGUGAUGCCAUUCGGAUUGACCAAUGCGCCCGCAGUCUUCAUGGAUCUGAUGAAUAGAGUAUGCCGACCUUACUUGGAUCAGUUCGUCAUCGUUUUUAUUGACGACAUCCUGAUCUACUCCCGAAGUACAGAAGAGCAUGGCGAUCAUUUGCAACAAGUUUUAGGGAUCUUACGAAAGGAGAAACUUUAUGCGAUGUUCUCGAAAUGUGAAUUUUGGAUCCGAAGAGUCGAAUUCAUAGGACAUGUGGUAAGCGAAGAGGGAAUCCACGUGGACCCAUCCAAAAUUAAAGCCAUUGAGAACUGGUCAGCACCCAAGACGCCUACAGAAAUUCGUCAAUUUCUAGGUCUCGCUGGCUACUACCGCAGAUUCAUUCAGAACUUCUCUCGAAUAGCGAAACCUCUUACAACCCUAACCCAGAAAGGCGUGGCCUUUGACUGGGAAGAGAAACAAGAGAGAGCGUUCCAAACGCUCAAACGAGCCUUGUGCACCGCACCAAUACUAUCCCUUCCCGAAGGAAUAGAAGACUUCGUAGUUUAUUGCGAUGCAUCAAACCAAGGACUCGGAUGUGUUCUGAUGCAGCGAGGUAAGGUCAUCGCCUACGCCUCGAGACAGUUGAAAACACAUGAGGUUAACUACACGACCCACGAUCUUGAGCUANCCUGAUUCCACUUGAGAAAGUGAAGAUCCGAAGCAACAAAUCCAUUCGUGUUUCAUUCCAAUCCAUGACCUGUAUCUUAUUCUUUGAAUUUCGGGACGAAAUUCCCUCUAACGGGGGGAUAAUGUAACAACCCGAAGUUGUUCAUCGCCGAAAACCCGUUCUACCCGAAUAACUCGUCGGAAAUCGAAAUGUCCCGUUAUCGUUUUUGGGCUUAGUUAACUAAAAUUUUAUAUUUAUUUUCGUUCAAUGAGGAUCCAAAUCAUUUAGGAACUCAUGAAUUUAGCCCAAAACAUUUAUUUCAUAAGUUUUAGAAAUAUCCUCGUCGGGUGACGAAAACUCAAUCGGGUGCGACCCAAAGCAUCGUUUAAGGCCGGUAUCGAGUAGAAUUCCACCGUGUCCAAGUUUAAGGGACUAUAUAAACAUGUUUAAGCACUCAUUUUAAGCUUUUUCCUUCUCUCUCUACUCUCUCUCUAACCUCUCUCCUAAAUCCAAAGAUUAAGUGUCCAAAACUCAAUUUUAAGGCCUCAAAUCCUUAAGGUACCUUCCUAGCCUUAAUCUAUAGCAUGUUUAGCUUCCAAAUUAGACACUUAAUCAUGAAAUUGGACAAUAUAUGUGAGUUUACGGCCCAGGAGGCUGCCUAGGCCGUAAACACCAUUUUGAAGGGUUUUUAGCCCUUAAAUUCCUUCCUUAACUCAAUUGGACUUUAGAUAUGGCUAAGGGACUUCAAGAUAUGGACUUAGAACACUUAAAACUAUGAUUUUGAGGACUUUGAAUGAUUUUACGGCCAAGGCAUAAGCUUGGGCCGUAAACUCAUGUUAAUGGGGUUUUUCAUGCCUUUAAACACUUCCAAAUCACUUCUAUGGCUUAGAUAUGAAUUAUAGGACCUUGGUUUUAGCAUUUGGACACUUGAAACAUGAAUUUUGGAGGAUUUAGAUGAGCUUACGGCCAAGGAUAGUGCUUGGGCCGUAAACUCCCCGAAACUUGACAUAAAUCCAAUUCUAAGGUGUUAGAAAGCCAUCCAACACCACCAAAAGCCUUGGAAUAAAUCAAGGGACCAACCAAAAAUACUUUAAGGGCCUAAAACACAUCAUUUGUGGGAUUUCUAAUAGUUUACGGCCAAGACCUGUUCUUGGGCUGUAAACUCCAAAAUUUUUGGUGUUAGAAUGCAAACUAAACACCCCUAAGGCCCUUAGAUGAAUUUUAGAAGCCAUUCUAUGCAAGUUUUAGACCUUGAAACACAUUGUAGCUUGACAUAUUAGAGUUUACGGCCAUGAAGAGGGUNGGGGGGUCUCAUAGGCCGUAAACUCCAUAACACCCCUCAAAUGUCCCAUAAAACUCAUGUUAGGCCUUGGAAUAAUUCUAUUAAUCACAUGUGAUUUGUUUUAGCAACAUUUAACACCAUUUUCAUGAGGAUUAAGGAGUUUACGGCCAGGAGCCUAUACUAGGACGUAAACUCCCAUAAAUUAAACAUUUUGGUGAUUUUAAUCCAUUGCAUGCAUUUAGAACAAAACCUAGAAACAUUUCCCAUGUCCAUGUAAGCCAUUUAAACACCCAAAACCACACCCACAUGAGUUUACGACCGUAAACUCAUGUAUGUGUGUGUUUUCUGGUUGUAAACUAAUUUAAAAGUUUACUCAUGGGGAGUAAACUCAUGUAUGUGUGUGUUUUCUGGUUGUAAACAAUCCCACACCUUAACUGCUAGCUACAGUUAGGCGGGCACGCCUGGGGUGACAAAUUCUGUAUAUCAUUCGACGUCUGACUAACGUCAAGGAGGUCUCGUUGUCGUAUCAGCAUGGUUACCCGACUCACAAUACGUAUUAAUAUAAACUUAUUCACAGCUAAGAUUUGUUUAGAAUCUAUAUCUUGUUCGGGAUGAUAAUCCCAUGGUUUUAUAUCUAUAUCUCGUUCGGGAUGGUAAUCCCAUGGUUUUAUGUCUAUAUUUCGUUCGGGAUGAUAAUCCCAUGAUCUUGUGUCUAUAUCUCGUUCGGGAUGGUAAUCCCAUGGUUUUGAAACUAAAUCUUAUACGGGAUGAUAAUCCCAUGAUUUUAUCAAUCUAUCAUAUAUCUAGUUUCGGGAUAGUGAUCCCAUGGUUUAUCAAGCUAUCUUAUAUCUAUUUUCGGGAUAGUGAUCCCAUGGUCUUUAUCGAAUUAUCUUAUAACUGGUUCGGGAUGUUAGUCCCAAGGUUUUCAAAAUACUUUCUAUCUACAGUUCGUCUAAAUUAUAGUUUUGUAUAUUAAACUAUACUAUGUGUUAUUCAAUAAAUCUUGCAAUUAGGAAAAUAUGGGAUUUUCCUGGGGUUAACUUAUAUCUUGUAACAGAACUGUAACGAAAGAUAACUUAACUACUUUACAUAAGAAAAUAUGGGAUUUUCUUGGAUAUCAAAUCUUUUCAGAAAACUAAAGGAAACCGAUACAUUUUCACAAAACAAAACCGCUUAUGAACUCACCAGCUUUAUGCUGAUUUUCAAACUGCUUGUAUUCUCAGGUCCAAGUUAGACAGGUACCCGGCGAUAUCUUUUGGUGAAGAUGGAGUGCUCCGAAGACUCGUCUCUUUUGUUCAUAUGAUAUAUGUAUAACUUUGUACAAUUUACUUUUGAACCAAAUGUAAACUUUCAUAUAUAUGUAAUGUAAUGGUUGUUUACUGUGAUUACUAUGCACAUUGGAUUUGAUACACAACAUGGAGUCAACCCCGGGAACGUUUCCGCCUUUGGUUUUCGGGGUGUGACAAAGAGAGUCUUGUGCACCGCGCCAAUACUAUCCCUUCCCGAAGGGAUAGAAGACUCCGUAGUCUAUUGUGAUGCAUCAAAUCAAGGGCUCGGGUGUGUUCUGAUGCAGCGAGGUAAGGUCAUCGCCUACGCCUCGAGACAGUUGAAGACACACGAGGUUAACUACACGACCCACGAUCUUGAACUAGGAGCAGUGGUGUUUGCUCUAAAGAUCUUGAGACAUUACUUGUACGGAACGAAAAACACUAUCUUUACCGACCAAAAGAGUUUACAACACAUUUUCGGUCAAAAGGAGCUCAACAUGAGACAACGACGGUGGGUCGAGCUACUCAGUGAUUACGAAUGCGAUAUUCGUUAUCAUACGGGUAAAGCCAACGUAGUAGCAGACGCCCUAAGUCGGAAGGAAUAUUUUGGUCGCAAAGUCAAGUCAUUAUCAAUAACCAUCCAUUCACACUUGUCUAAGCAAAUUCAGGCGGCUCAACUUGAGGCCAUGAAACCUGAAAAUGUGGCGAGUGGAUCCCUUAGAGGAAUCGACAAGAAUUUAAAAGCGAAAGGUGACAGAGCCUUAUACUUCAUGAACCGGAUCUGGACACCGAAGCACGGUGGUUUCCGAGACUUGGUCAUGACCGAGGCGCACAACACUCGGUAUUCCGUCCACCCAGGUUCAGAUAAGAUGUAUCUGGAUCUUAAAAAGCUAUACUGGUGGCCUAAUAUGAAAGCAGAGAUUGCUACCUUCGUAAGUAAAUGCCUUACUUGCGCAAAGGUUAAGGUCGAGUACCAGAAGCCCUCUGGUUUAUUGCAACAACCAGAGAUUCCAGAAUGGAAGUGGGAGCGGAUCACUAUGGAUUUCAUAACCAAGUUGCCCAAGACAACGGGUGGACUUGACACCAUAUGGGUCAUCGUCGAUAGAUUGACCAAGUCUGCACACUUCCUGCCUAUCAAAGAAACCGACAAGAUGGAGAAACUUACGAGAACAUACAUUAGGGAAAUCGUACGGCUACAUGGUGUACCUAUGUCCAUUAUCUCCGAUAGAGAUAGUAGGUUCACCUCAAGAUUUUGGCAAUCACUACAACAUUCCCUAGGAACAAGGCUGGACAUGAGCACANNNNNNNNNNNNNNNNNNNNNNNNNNNNNNNNNNNNNNNNNNNNNNNNNNNNNNNNNNNNNNNNNNNNNNNNNNNNNNNNNNNNNNNNNNNNNNNNNNNNNNNNNNNNNNNNNNNNNNNNNNNNNNNNNNNNNNNNNNNNNNNNNNNNNNNNNNNNNNNNNNNNNNNNNNNNNNNNNNNNNNNNNNNNNNNNNNNNNNNNNNNNNNNNNNNNNNNNNNNNNNNNNNNNNNNNNNNNNNNNNNNNNNNNNNNNNNNNNNNNNNNNNNNNNNNNNNNNNNNNNNNNNNNNNNNNNNNNNNNNNNNNNNNNNNNNNNNNNNNNNNNUCAUGGACCGUGAGGUCAAGCAGACGAAACAAAGCCGUAUCCCUAUCGUGAAGGUUCGUUGGAACGCCAAGCGAGGACCGGAAUUCACUUGGGAACGCGAGGAUCAGAUGAAGCUGAAAUACCCUCAUCUUUUCGCUUAAUUGUUUGUAACUUUAUAUUUGCUUAAAUUCUAAUUUCGGGACGAAAUUCCUUCUAACGGGGGGAUGAUGUGACAACCCGAAAUUUCCAUUUGUACGAACAUUAUCUAUUCGAUAGAAUUUAGUCCAGUUUCAGUGAAUUUCAUACUUUUCCGAGUAAGUUCGUGUACGUUAGGGUCUACAUUUAAGGAGUUAUCAGGAGAGUGGAUGCUCAUGGGUUUGUGAAACUUGAACAUUCCAAGUUUCAUAAUGUUAUAGUCCAAUUUCCGGAAUAAAAAUAUUUUCUAUCAAAAUAUUUCUAGACUAUAAAUAGAUUUAUGAAUUAAAUUAAUUCAUUAUUCACACUUCCAAAUAGAGAAAAGCCAUUUUCUCUCUCACGGAUCUUUGGGUUUUCAUCCCAUAUCGUGAGUCUACUUUCCUAGAUGUGUUUUAAUACUAGUUAUAUGCUUUAUAACAUUGAUUACAUGUUGCAAGAUCCGGGACUUUACCGCCCAAGAACGUUCUUGGGGAGUAAACUCCAAAAUGGAGCUUUAAGGCUACCUAGUCCCAUUUCCUUGUUAGAUAACUAGUUAAGGACUUUAUGUAUGAACAUUAGAGGCUAGAAAUCAAUCAAGAUCACCUAGUUUUAGGAGUUUACGGCCAAGGAUAUGCUCUUGGGCCGUAAACACCUUUUUCAAGGGCUAAGAGUGCCCUAAACACCCCUAAGGCUUUAAGACAAUUACCCUCAAAUGCUUGUAACUAGAAUGGGGAGUAAAUUUCAUCAAAAUCAUCCCUUAAAGGGAGUUUACGGCCAAGGAACAUCUCUUGGGCUGUAAACUCCAAGUAAAGGCACAAAGGUGUGCCUAAAGUCCCCUUUAGCCUUAAACAAAAACCUAGAAGCUAUCCUUUAUGUGCAAGUGACUUAAAAGAAUUAAAACAAACACCCCAUAGGAGUUUACGGCCGUAAACUCUAGGGGUUAAGGUCUUUAGGCCGUAAACUCCUCAAUGGAGCAUUCUAGGGCCUUAAACUACUUCAAGGAUUAUUCCACAAAUGCUAGGCUUAUUCUAGGAUUAGUUUAGCACCUUAAAACACCCAAAACCACCAAGAGUGGAGUUCUCGGCCGUAAACUCAAGGGUUUAUGACCAUAAACUCCAAGGGUGAAGUUUGUUGGGUGGUAAGCACUUAUUCAAGGUACUGUAGCCACUUAGAUGCAACCAUUAGCACCUAUAACACUUAUACAAAGUGUUUACAUGUUCCUAAGUGUCCCAACAUAUUAUAUUAAGUUAUUAUUUGGCUAAUUAGUUAUAUAUAUGCUAAUUAUAUGAUAACUAGGCUCGUGCGUGUGAACAAGUCUCCGUUUGCCACCUAGCACGGUAUCCGAUACUUCAAUCCAAUCCACUCACCACAAGUGAGUCCAUACCCCUUUUAAUUAACCUUUCAAAUGCUUUUAAAUGCUUUAAAUACUUUAUGGGGGGAAUACAAGUUAAAUACUUAUAGUUAUUGCGUCAAUUGCAUGUGAUUGCAUUAAUCACAUGUGAUUAAUAACUAGAAAACCAAUAAAUUAUUCACUGUUCAAACUGUUUAUCAAACUACUUUACUUCAAAAUGUUUUACAAACCCUUUUACUUAACAAAUGCUUUUAUUAAACUUUAGUUUAUUCCUUAUAAAUUGCAUGACCAUAUAUGUAUAGAUAUAUAAGAAAUGUUUAAAGGGCUUAGGAAGGUCAUCCGCCCUAUUUCCUUUUUCUCGAUUUGGAUGUGGUCUGGUGGGACUUCGGGUAACCGUCCGAAGGUCGUUUCAAUAUUACUUAUAUAUCAUAUAUACAUGUAUAGGCAUAAAAUUACUUCCAUAUUCAUACUUCUCAGUACAUCAUUAGUAAGUUACCAUCGGGGUAACACAGGAACAUUUACAACUAUACUAGAAACAGAACAUAUACAACUAUACUAGAAAGAGAACAUGUACAGCUAUACUAGAAAGAGAACAUAUACAACUAUACUAGAAACAGAACGUAUAAAACUAUACUAGAAAGAGAACAUAUACAACUAUACUAGAAAGAGAACAUAUACAACUAUAUUAGGAGGAGAGCAUAUACAACUAUACUAGAAAGAGAACAUAUACAACUAUAUUAGGAGGAGAACAUAUACAACNUACAUUACAUAUACAAGAAUACGUUAACAAUUGUGAUCCACUGUAUCGGAGCAUGCCUUAAAUGUCAUGGCCCGAGUUGUAGCCAGAAUUCUCUUGGAGGGAGAGCGUGAGUUUGCGUAUAGAUCUAUACUGGAUUGCCUAUCCUACCCCUUGCUGCUAGCUACAGCCGGACCUGCAGGUCUACGGGUGCCAAACAUCAUUCCGUUAUUACGACCAUUCGUUAUGUCGUUGUUCCAGUCGAUAGCAUGGUGCAAUUUAUCACAUUAUACCUUAAUAUAAAUCCGGUUUAAGGUAGUUAGUACAGCAGUAGUUCCUAUAAUACAACACUACAGUACUACAAUAAUUUACCCAUUACAUAUAUUUAGUGAUUAUUUCACUUAAACAUUAAUGUACAAACUAUAUUUUGUUACAUGAUAGUUACACUUGGGAAAUUACACACUUUUACAACAAACGAGCAUACAAAACAGUUAGGCCUUGGUAGAAGGCUACUUUAAUAGAAAAUAUAGGUUUUUCUGAGAGAUUCAAACACUUUCAAACACUUACUUACGUUUUACAAACUUAUACAUUGAGACAGGUUCAAACGUUUUUGACAACAAACAUCGACACUAAAAUACUUAUGAACUCACCAGCUUAAUGCUGAUAAACUCUUUCAAAAUAACUUGUAUUCUCAGGUCAUCAGUAGACAGGUACCGAGGCCAGCUUUUGAGAAGAUGGAGCGCAUCCAAGACUCAUCUUAUUAUUUUGAUUUACAUUAUUUUUGGUGUCUAUAACUGUACAGAACACGCUUGUAUUAAAAUUAUAUAUUUAAUGCAAUGGAUGAUGUUGUUUGCUUAUUUACAUUUACUGUGUUGUGAUACUAUACAUGACGUCCUCCGCCCCUGAACGUUUCCGUCGUUCUUGGUUUUGGGGUGUGACAACUUGUAGUCUGUUAUCAGUCGUCAUAAAUCAGAAGUCGGGAAACAGUAUAGAGAGAAUGAUUGAAAUUCAUGUCUUUUGUCUAUACGAUGUAUUGAGAAUGGAAGAAUAUAUAAUCCCUUAUCUAGAGGACAUGCUAUCUGAUAAGAUCAUAGUUGACAGCGGCUUUUGAAAGCUACGAUUGCUAAUCAGGUUCUGAAGUCAUACGGAAAAUAGUUAUUAGACUUAUCCAAGUGGGAGAUUGUUGGAUUAGUGUCUAAGUCCAUAACUAUUUUUGUAUGUACUUGACCCGAUUAUGAUCAUGGUCCUUUUGGGUUGCCUUCACCAUAGCAAUAUGUAGGAUAAAUUAAGGAGAGAAAGGUUUAAAUAUGAUUUAUUAAUAUAUUAUGAGAAUAAUAUAUUAAAGGAGAAAUCAUAUUGUUUAAUUAAUAUUAGUCGAGAAUUAAUUAAGAAUUAAUUUUGUGGCUAAAAGAGAUUAAUUAAAUUUAGGGGACUGGACUGCAAUUAUUGUAUAAUUAAGUUAUUGGGCUAAGGAAUGCUAAAGGAAUAAGGGUUGAACGAAAUUAUGAUGGAAGCCCAUCAUAUUUUCGUCCAUAGCCUUAUCCAGAAGGUUCUAUGGGCUGCUUAGAAUUUAAGCUGUCCAUUAAGGUUUUGACUGAAACCCUAGCAGCCCGCACAAGUAUAUAAAGGACCACUUAGGCCACAAAAACGUGGUCAACUGAUUCUCUAGGGAUUCUAGUCAUUUUUGUGCAGCCUCCUUUCUUCUCCUCUUCAUCUAAAUUGCAUAAGGUGUUUGUGACUCCAUUAGAGGUGCAACACUUGAGGCACUAAGCUUUCUAAAGCCAAUCCAAGCAAGGAAUUGAUUGUUAUUGCUAUACAACAACCAAAGGUAAUUCUAUAAACCCUAAUUCAGUUCAUAAUAUGUUAGAUCUAAGUUUAGUAGUCUUGGAUUCAAAGCACGUUCAAUAAAGAAACCUAGAUCCAAGCAUUAGGGUUUGUAUGAGCACAUAGGAUUGUUCUUAUGCAUAAAACCCAUCAAGUACGAGGUCCUGAAUGAUUAAAGGAAGUCAAGAGGAGAAGUUAUGAGGGAUUCGUCUGUGAUUCGGAGUAUUUGGUAUUGCUAGGUUUCUAAUCGGGGAGAUCAUCAAGCGUUGUGUAGCUCAAUUAGAGAAUAGAUGCGAUGUUAUUAAUGGAAGCAGUAUGUGGAUGGAUUGAAAGUGUGCCAAUUGGCGAUGGUUCGAUCCCUAAGUGGUGGAGAACCAGGUAAUUGCUGGCGGGAUUUGAGAAUUGUGUAGAGGUAGAUAGAGGACUGGUUAUAGUGAUUGUGUGGCAGAUUCAUGGGUUCAGGGCUAAAUUGGUGCAUAGGGUGAGGUGCAAGUGAGAUAAUCUCUGUCGUGCAUGAUCAGGAAGGAAUGAAUGAUUCUAUGGCAGGUGGCCGUUGGUCAGAGAGGUUGUUCGGGUCAGAAUUUCAGUGUGUAAAACAAGCCAAGACAAUUAAGUCCUUGAGUUCAGAGAGCAGCAACAGUGCUUGACAGGUAUAUGUUCAGAAUGUGAUCUCCUCACCAAGAAAAGAAACAAUUGGUAUGUUAGCUAAUUUUGGAGACGGUAUGAGUAGUGAUCGGCAAUGGGUGAAUUUCCAGGUCCUUGUAUUCGAAUUACGGGUUAAUGGCGAUGUCCUGUGUUCAAUUUGGAAAGGGGAUACUUUGAGGUUGCAAGUGUUGCAAGAUGAAGAUCGAUUUCGAGAUUCUAAUGAAGGGAGGCACUAUUCGUGUAUGAUGCUAUGAGUGUGAGAUCAGUGUUUGAGAUUAGACAUUGUGGGAGGUUGUGAUGGUGUCCUGAAGUAUCGGAAUGUGCGGUCAUCAAGUUCAGAUUAUUUUCGAAUUGUGAGUCGGAGGCAGAUAGUGGGUAUCAAGUGAGUACGGUUCCGGUGAGAACCCUAAGGCCAAAUGACAUCAGGUGAAAUUAUUCGGGAAGGUGGUUUGCAACAAGGAAGGUGUGUUCAGAUGCUGUCAAACAUAGUAGUGCAUAGCUUGAGUAGGUGUGUACACCCACGCAUGGCCGGUCCGCGGGGCAUAAGUUCAUGAUCGCGGUGUGGCGCCUACAUGAAAGUGGGAUUAUGAAGAGGUAAAGGCUGGUGCGGUAAGACUACGGGGAGCCGCAGUUCAGUGGCUUAGAGAGAGGUUAGAGUGAUGCUACGAGGAGUUGUAGUAUUCACGGAUUAGAGAGGUUAGAGUGAUGCUAUGGGGAGUCGUAGUAUUCACGGAUCAGAGAGGUUUGAGUGAUGCUACGGGGAGCCGUAGUAUUCAUGGAUCAGAGAGGUUGGGGUGAUGCUAUGGGGAGGCGUAGUACUCACGGGUCAGAGAGAGGUUGUAGUGAUGCUACGGGGAGCUGUAGUGUUCACGGAUCAGAGAGGUUAGGGUGAAGCUACGGGGAGCCGUAGUACUCACGGGUCAGAGAGAGGUUGUAAUGAUGCCACGGGGAGCCGUAGCAUACACUAAUCAAGGAAGGGUAGAGAUACUGCGAGGGUGGUAGUACUCUCUAGUCAGUAAGAGAAUGUUGGGAUAACUAUUCUAUGAUCAGGGCAUAACGCGGAAAGGUUGUUUAGUUUGGGUAGCUCAAAUAUAUGAGGUAUGGGCGCCUGAUGGUUAAAUCAGGGACGAUUGGUUAUCUCAUUUGUUUGUAGUGGUUAUAUUGGAUGAAAUCGUGGUUGUUGUAGAUGAGUGAGUUAUGUGUGGGUUGCGAGUCAUCAGUCUCGAAAUGAGUGGUUCUUGGGGCGAGUGGUCCGACCUGGGGAUUGAUCAAACUCUUGAGACGAGUUUGAUUUUAGUAGUGCGUCGAGAAGGCAAUAUGAGGAUUCAAAUUCAGAGAAUGAGUACUUUUAUGAAAAGAUACUUGUCAUCUGGAAUUGAGCUGAUAUUCGAGUGCGGAUUUUAGUGUUCGCUGGGGAUAGUGAGAAUUGGUGACUUGUGUGUCACCAUGGGUUGAAACACUUGUUGUGAGAAAGAAGUGGUGGGGCAUGCAUGGAUCUUCUUUGGAGGUUCAAUAGUGAAAGUCGUGGGUAACCUGGUGCUCAGGGUUAGAAAGGGAGAUCUGGUAGGAAGUUGAGGCUUGAGAUUGCUAUACGUCAGCAGAUGAUUCUGAUUAAACAUAAACAUUUCCUUGAGUUCGAACGCAAGGUUUUGAGAGUCUUUGUCCAGACGAGAUUUCAAUGAUAGUGCAGGGGAUGGGUUCCCUGUGUAGCGUGAUCCUUUCGCUCCUUUGAGCGGGAUGAGGAGCACAUGGUGCGAGUGGUAUGGAUGAUCGAUAGCCGAUCGAUGGUUUUCGUUAGGAAGAAUAAGAGGAAAUAGUGAGUUGUCAGAGUUGAUGAUUCUGGUACAAGGUGGCAUGAGGAUAAUUCGUAUGGGAGGUGCCCUCUUUAGUGAUAUUGGUGUGUAUGAGAUCCUUUGAUGGUAUCUUACGGGUUAUUGGAUUCUAUUUAUGUGGGGUCAAGGAGCGAUUUCAAGGACGAAAUCUAAUUAAAGUGGGGGAGAAUUGUAACAUCCAGAUUCUUGGGUAUGUAUUAUAUUAUUUAUAUAUUUUGAUUUAAUGGAAGGGACUCGGCGAGUUGGUUGAUUUACUCGUCGAGUAACAGCGCGAUCAGGUGACGUGUUUAAAUGAAUGGACUCGACGAGUCGAGCAUUGGACUCACCGAGUCGGCGCUGUAGAGGAAAACCCUAAUUGUCCAGGUUUGGGAGCUAUUUAAAGAGCCUUAGGGUUUUCAAUUGCAGCUAUCCUUACCCUGGAGAAACCCUAAAUCGUCCUUGAGAGCUUAGAGAGUAAAGAAGAGCCAUCUUGAGCAUUUUGGUGUGUCAUUUCUAAAGAGAAGAUGAGAUUCUAGCAAGAGGGACUAGAGGGGGUUGAUGUACUGAGGUUAUGAAGCCUGGAGUUUCACUUUGAGGUAACAAAUCGGACCAUUUCUCCUGUUUGAUGUUGAUUUCAUGAAUCUAGGGUUUCUUAACCAUUCUCUUUAGAGGUUUAUGAAAUGCUUGAGGUCCCAAUGUGGAAUAAGCCGUAGAUCUGGACCAUGGGAGGUCCAGAGAGUCCCUUAUGUUCAGGUUUAUGCAGUCAGAUAGAGAGUUUGAGCCUAGGUUUCCAUUUAGAUGGCUAUUUCUCCAUUUAUGGCUCUAAUCAUGAUGCGUGGAUGUAAAGUUUGGACCUUUACGUGAUUUGUGGGUGCUAGAAGGUUAGAUCUACAAGUUGGUGAAGCAGAUCUGACCUCAGAAGGUCAGAUGAGUAUGGUCAUGGAGGAGACUCGCUGAGUCCAUAGGAGGACUCGGCGAGUCUGAUCGAGUUUACCCGAGUUUCGUGAUCAGUUGAGACCCCAUGAGUUGGGUGGGUGACUCAUUGAGUCGAGUGAGACCUUGUGAGGAAUCUGAUUAUGCGUGUGGACUCGCCGAGUCGUUGCCUGACUCGACCAGUCUGGUCAAAGUUUGACCGUUGACUUCCUUUGACUUUUAGGGUUUAUUCAACCAGUGGACUAUUGGGCCAGGGGAGGGGUAGAAUGGUCUUUUACCCUUCUGGGAAGCAUAGUAUGAGACCUGUCUAGCCUUUGAGAGCCACUAAUUAUUUAGAGUUAUUUAUUUUAUGUGAUUAGGCGGCGGCUAGAUCGGUAUUUCGAGUUUGAGACUUUCGAGAAUUACCCGAUGUGAGUCUUCUCACUAUACGUUACCUUGAGUGGUAGUUAUGUGUGACCGGAGGGUCUUAUGUGCUUACAUUGAGUAUUAUGUUAUAUGUGAUAUGCUAUGCAUCAUGUCUUUGUGAUUUAUGCUAUGCGAAGUUUCUAGACCGGACCGGAGGGUCCAACGAUAUAGACCGGACCGGAAGGUUCAACGAUACAGACCGGACCGUAGGGUCCAACGAUACGGAACUGGAGGGUUCCACUGAGACACACCGUCCGGAGGGUCAUAUUGUAGCCUUGAGUGGCAUAUGUGUUGUAUGUGGUAUUUUGGGGAACUCACUAAGCUUUGUGCUUACCGUGUUAUGUGUUAUGUGUUUCAGGUUCUUCUGAAUCGCUGGAAGGCGGUGGCUCGAUUGUACACACACACAAGAGAAAAGAGUGAAGAAUACAGAUCCUGGGAUUUCGUAAUGUUCUGAAAACGUUGUUGAUGAUUUUUAAAUAAAAAGUGUUUAUAUAGGAUAAUGUGUAUUUUUAUGAAAUAAAAAUGAGUAAAAUAAAUUUAAAAUUUUUCAGUGUUACAUAGUAGAACAAUCCAUAUGAGUCGAAGUUUAUCCAUUCCUUUUAACUUUGGGAUAAAAGCGAUAUUUGUAGGCCCCUUGAUGAUUUGAUGAUGACAAAUGGAAGUGCUCGGCCGGGCCAGGACUGAUUUGAUUUGUUCAAUUAGUCAGUCGUCAUAAAUCGGAAAUCGGGAAACAACAGAUGGACAGAGAGAAUGAUUAUAAUCCAUGUGUUAGUCCAUAUGAUAUCUAGAACGGAGGAAUAUAUGAUCCCUUAUAUAAUGGAGAAGUCAUCGACAAAGGUCGGAGUUCAUCUACAAGGUUAGAGUUCGACAGAAGUUUUUGAGAGCUACGAUUGCCAGUCGGUUCUUGAAGUCAAACGCAAUAAUAGUUUUUGACUUAUCCAAGUGGGAGACUAUUGGAUUAAUGUCUAAGUCCAUAACUACAAUUGGUGAGACUUGACCCGACCAUGCAUGCUCCAUUUGGAUUGCAUGGCAUCAUGCAUUUUGAUAGACUAUAAUGAGAGAAAUAACACUUAAGAUUAUUAAUAUACUAUAAGUUCUAAUAUAUAAAUAGGAUUAUUUAAUUAGUAUUGAUCAAGAAUUAAUCUAGUGAUCAAAAAAAGACUAAUUAAAUAUAUGGAUUGAUUGUGUAAAUCAUCCAUACUUGUAUAGUGGGCUAAUGCUCCAUGGAUUAUCAAGUUGGGCUAAAACCCAUAGGAUGCUGCAUGGUGUAUUUGAACCCAUGGAUCCUAGGAAAUGGAAGGCCAUGACCAUUACGGUUUACCCUAAUUGUGACACUAUAUAAAUAUCAUAUCAUUGGGAAAAUCGGCCACUAUGUAUUAGUGAUAGGGCUAGCCGAUUUUCAUGAAGUGUGGAAUUUUUUCAAGUCUCUCUAAGUGAAAAUGAUGUUGUGUGAACCAUUUGAGGUGUCACACUUGGGGAACUACACACUGAAGCUUCAUGAAGACUUUCUACAUCAAAGAGGUAUGUAAUUCUAACUUUUUUUAGUUCACGUGAAUCAAAGUUUUGUAUGCUAGUUAGUAUAAUACCUUGGAUGUUCGUAUUUGCAUGUAUAAUAGAGAAAACAUAGAUCCAAAGUAUUUAGGGUUGCAUGUACACUUAGGAGUGUUAGAAUCCUCAAAACCCAACAUAAUCAACUUAGGCAUAAAGAUAAAAGUUUCUCAAAUCUGAAAAGAUGGGAGAGUACUUUAGUAUCAUGUUUUAAGACAUCUUAAUGAUUUUGAGACCUUAUCACAAUUCAUCCUCUAAGUGCAGUCUGAUAGUUAAGAAGAGGGGUUAUGAAUUGUUGAAGUCGUUAAAACAAGAAUAUGAUGAUGGGUUUUGGUCAAAAGACAUCCUAUGUGCUCAUACAAACNNNNNNNNNNNNNNNNNNNNNNNNNNNNNNNNNNNNNNNNNNNNNNNNNNNNNNNNNNNNNNNNNNNNNNNNNNNNNNNNNNNNNNNNNNNNNNNNNNNNACAUACCAAAAUAGUUAUGGACUUAGACACUAAUCCAACAUAUGAUUCAUACUUCGUUCCAAAAAAAAAUUCUUAGUGUUAUACUCUAAGAUUGUUACUUGAGUGACAUGUCUUAAACAAGGUUUAAAACACUUGUCAAAUGUAAGAGUAAAAGUUUUGUACUCUUGCACAAUUGAAAUUGGUAAGUUGUGAUGUUUUGGAUAAAACAAAGACCAACUAAGGCCAAUUGUGUGAAUUGUUUGUCUUGAUUAGAAUCCACACUAUCUCUUGAAUAUCUGACAAGAAAGUCUUAUAUGUCAAGAGGACAGUGGGAGUGUUAAAGGUCUUGAAAGUCUCAAGAACUAAUC
rnacentral:lncRNA from 1 species